rnacentral:lncRNA from 1 species
UGGGAAUUAUGGAGAGAAGAAAAAGCAUUGGAGAUAGUUGAUCCAUCACUGACGGAGUUGUAUGAUCCGCGUGAAGCCUUGAAAUGCAUACAAAUCGGUCUACUGUGCGUGCAAGAAGAUGCCGCGGACAGACCAUCUAUGUUGGCAGUUGUUUUUAUGUUGAGUAACGAAACAGAGAUUCCUUCUCCAAAACAACCUGCAUUCCUCUUUAGAAAAUCUGACAAUAAUCCUGAUAUAGCAUUAAACGUAGAAGAUGGACAGUGUUCUGUAAAUGAGGUGACAAUUACUGAAAUUGCUAGUCGCUGAAGCUGUGCUGUCUGAAAAUUUGCUAAUAUGAAGUUCCAUUUGAUUUGUAAUGAAAACAAAUAUGUUAUGCUAGACGUACCCACUGCUAGACGUACAUCACAACAGAUCAAGCUCUUCAGCGCUAGACGUACCCACUGCUAAAACUCCCAACUGAUCCAUUCUGCCUAACAGCAUCAUCAUAUGUUAUGCUAUAGGUGUGGUGUUCGUCAACUAUUCUUUUAUGGAUAGUUACUCUAUCUACCUUCUGUUUUGAUGCUUGCUUUGUCUUUGCCUUUUUCAGCCAUGUUGAACCCACAGUUGGAUCAAGAACGGUCAGCAAUUCCUUUUCAAGAAUACCAUUUGAUGCCCUUGCAUUCUGCACGAGAAUGGGUAGAGUACAGAGACAAUAACUUUGUGAUUGAAACAGAACAAAGACAAUAACUUUGAAGAUCAGACGCCUUUUCUCACUAAUAUUUUUGUUUAUGAAAAAUGUUUCUGAAAAUAGUAGUUUUUAUUGGGAAAUUCAGCGCAAAACAAGUAGUAAUUUAAGUGCAUCGACUCGAAUAUACAGAUCAUAUCUAAUACACUUGUGAAGGUACUUUUUCUACCUUCACAAACCCUUGAGUUCAUACCCAGGUAAACAAGCACAUUCAUAUCUGUUAAUGUCAGCAGGUUGAAAUGUACAUCAACAGGUGUAUAUAUAGACAAAGUAUAUUUCAUCUUGAAUGCUUACAAAGCUUUCCUUGUAUAAUUGCAUCUGGCCUCUCCAUGGCUAUAUAUGGGACUGUUCGCCAAUAAUGUCCUGUACCCUUGGAGAGAGAGAAUUGUGGGAAAUAAGUAAAUAUUUUGAUUCAAUAAUUUGUGUUUUGAAAGUAAAAAGUAAUUGGAAACUAGAGUUUAAAAAAAUAAAUAAAUUAUAUUUAUAAGAAUAUUGAUCCCAAUGCAAGUGUCAAAGUACUUUCAAAGCAAGCUAAGUUUAUAUAAAGAAUUUGUUUUUGUUAAUUUUGUCAUGUGAUAUGAUAAAUGAAAUUCAUUGUCAUUUCCAGUUGAUCUUGGCUCAAUUUUCUUCAUUUUAAAUGUGAAAGAAAAAAAAUAGUAAUAAUAAAUAAAAUAAAAUAAUAAAUUAGAUUUUUUAUUUUUUUAUUAAUUAAGGGUAUUAUAGUAACAAUUAAUAUAUUAGUAAUUACAUAAUAAUUUAAAGGAUGAAAAUAAAAUAAAAUAAAAUUUUAUAGCAACUUACAUCAGACGAUUAAAACCCACAUCAAUACCAAGAAGUAUAGGAAGCUCAAGAAGAAGGUUUGAUUUAUAGCCAAAAUCUUUUUUUUUUUUUUUUUACCAAUUUGAGGUACGUGUUUUCUAUCCUUAUAUUUUAAUUGAGUGUUUUUAUGCAUUUUAGGGUUAUUGAAAAAGGUUAUUGAAAAAGUACUUUUAAGGACAUGGUGUAAUACUAAUGAUGUCAUAGAUUGAUAGGAAGUCAUUAUAAGUGAUUUUACAUGUUUUUAGUAGAUUAAUUUGAAGUAAUAAUGAAAUUAAGAGAUUUGAAAAAAAAUAAUGAGAUGGUAAUUUUAAAGCGCCGGAUUAUAGCCUUCCAAUGAUUGUUAUGGUUGAAAUUUAGUACCAGUUAUAAUAUGUUGUAAGUUUUUUGAUUUGAUGGGUCACUUGUCCAAAUCAAAGUUGUGGAUUAAAAAUUAUGAUGUUCAUAUGCAAGUCACUUGGAAUUUGUUUUUUAAUUAAAGAGUGCAAUUCUCCCUGAAUAUUUUAUGACCCUAAAAAUUAUUGUUUUGAUUGAAUAUGUUACUAGGAAAUUUUAGUGUGCUUUUAAUAUUUUUUGAGUAUUUUUAAAUUUAUUAAAAAAGUAUUUUUUAUUAGUGAAAUUUAGUAAUUAAUAACUAAAAUUUAUUUUGAAGAGUGAUGAAUAACUUUUAUAAUUAAGUUUAAAACAUUUUAAUAUACUACUAUUAAUUUCUUGUCAUGUAGAAUUUGAAUAAGUGAAAAGUAUUUCAUAAAGAACUUGAUUUGUAUAUGAAUUAAUUUAUUUACUAAAUAAUUUAUUUAAAAAAUAGUUGCACUUGAUAAUUUUUGACACCUUCACUUUAAUUAUACUUAUAAUAUUGUUUUAGUUGAAAUAAAAAUAUUUAUUAUCCUUUUCUAAUAAUUGUAUCAUGUUAUUAAAUUUGAACUAUAAUAGUGAUAUGUUUUACAUCAUUAUUUUUGGUAUUUAAUUAUUAAAAAUAGAUAUUUUAAAAGUAAAAUAGGGGGUUGUAAUAACAUGGUUCUAGUAUUGGGUGAUUUUUGGUAUUUAAUUAUUAAAAAUAGAUAUUUUAUAAGAAAAAUAGGGGGUUGUAAUAACAUGGUUCUAGUAUUGGAUGAUUUUUGGUAUUUAAUUAUUAAAAAUAGAUAUUUUAUAAGAAAAAUAGGGGGUUGUAAUAACAUGGUUCUAGUAUUGGGUGAUUUUUCAUGGGAAUUAUAGGGUCAUUUAAGCAAGUGAUGUAAUUAAUAUUUUUUUUUAAAUUAGGAAUUAGAAACAAGCUCAUAUAUCACAUUGGAUAUCAGUGAGCAUAUAAUUUAUAAUGAUUGUUAUUGUUACGAGUACUUGGUUGUCUGUAAGACUAAUAUUGGAUUUGCGUAACACGCAAGUAAUAUUUCAUCACUUUGGUUAAUUAUUUUAAGUUAGAAAAUAUAUAUUUAUGUACAAAAUGAGUUUUUCAAAUAAUUAUUGUUUUGUAAAUUAGGUGAAUCAUGCAUGUAAAUUAUUUUGUAAAUAAUGUUAAGUGUUUUAUAAAAAUAUGUUUAUGAUUGCAAAAGUUCUUUGAAUAUAUUUUAAGCUAUAUUUAUCUGUACUAUGAUGUCGUGAUCAUACAAAUUAAUUACCAUAACUUAAACAAAUAAGUUAAUAUAGAGCAAACAAAUGGUCGAUCCCAUGAGAAAGAUCUAGUUCAGGUUUUUUUGCUAAAUGAUGCAAAGUUGGAGGGUUGAGAUUAUCUAAGCUAUGGUAGGGUAAACAAAAUAAAGUAAUCAAACUAAGUUAAAUAAACCAAAACUUAUUAAGAGAAAAACAUUUCAAGUAAAUGUCCAACGACAUAAUAAAAAAUUGAUUAUUGAAACGAUUCGUCAAUUUAUAUUUUGAAUAUUUAUUUUUUUUAAUAUAAAUUAGUUAACCGAUCCACAAUAUAACUAACCUAACCAUUAAACAACCAUUGCGUCCGCACUAGCAAUUUAAUUCAACGGCAGUCUUAAGAUCUAGAUAGGUUGAUAAAUCUAAACAACAUAGCUGUCUGCAAUCUAUGUUCAAUUUAAUUGAAUGUUUUCCCUAAAAUUAAUAGCAUAGAUCUUUCAUAACUAUUAAACUUAGUUACUUCACAAGUUAAAUAUCACAAACUCUGAUUUUGAUAGAAAACUUAGCAAUAGAUUGGUUAGAAUAAUAACUUAGAGUCCGUUUUAAUCAAUCAAACUAAACAAUCAUAGAAAAAAACAUAGAAAACAUUCAUACUCAUCAUAUAAACUAAAAAAAAGAUAAAAUAGAUCUCAUAGCUUUUUAAAUAUGAAGGCUUUUAACCUUUCAACCAAGAAAAAUAACUUAGUCUUGUAUGACUAUAAAAAUCUAAGGAAAAGAAAGGAUGAAAACAUAAUUUUGAGUGUAGGAAAAAAGAUGAGAGUUUCUUUCUCUUUUUUGGCCGCCUCCGUCUCUUUCUCUCUCUCUUUCUUUUAUAUGAUAGGAAACCAUAAUCCUCACAUUCCUAGUAGUCCGUUUGUAUCCUAAAAUAAUAAAAGUCAUUUCAAACGUAGAUAAUCUUUAUUUAAGUAAUACAAGAACUACUUUCUUAUAAAGAAGGAAAAACAGUCUUGCAUAAAAUCUUCAAGCUUUGACUUUGGAAUUCGUGAAUUUAAUUUGCUCAAAUAAAAACCUUUUUCAUAUGAAAAAAUAAUUGUCAUGUUGUUUGGAUGUUUAAGACUUAUUUCUUCACAAAACCUGUUUGUUAAUAUAAUUAUAGGUUGUCUUAGAAAUAUCAUAUCUCUCAUAUGAGCUUCUUCUUUUUUCUAUGAAAUUUGGUAGGUUGAUAGGUCUUUAAAUUAGAAAAAAAAAUUGAGUUACAUCAAAUAGACUUCUCUAACUCAAGAUAUUCAAGUCGGAAUGAUCUAUGGUCAAAACUAGCAGAAUGCGAGACUUGUUUUUGAAGGUUGUGAUUUCAAAACUCUUUUUUUCUCUUGCCAUAUAUGUAUAAAAAUGGAUGUUACUUUCUAGUUACAUAGAAUUCACUUCAUUUCGACCAAUACAACUCAAGUUCUGUUUAAAAUAUCAAUCAAAUGCCAAAUAUAUCAAUAUUCGACACUGGCUGGAAUAUAGUCUGAAUUUUAUAAGCAAAUUACUCAUUUUUGAAUCUUAUAUCCAAAAGUACCUUCAAAACAUAAAACAAAUAACAUCAAGAUCUUUUAUAUAUAAAAUAUGGACAAAAUACUAAUAUAUUCGAUAUAUAGUAUAAAACAUGGGCAAAAUAUUAUAAUAUUUCAAACACGGGUAAAUUUAGGUAAAAUUAUCAAAUAAUAUAGUAGUAUUAAUUUAUAAGUUUUGACAUAUUUGAUCUAGUUAAGCAAAUGAUUUGUUAUUAGUAUGUGCUCACCUCUUAUUUAAUUUUGGAAGAGGCUUAGAAUGUCAUCUAGUUGUUUUAGAAGUUUAUAGUUAAUUUCUAGGCUUUAAUAUUUAAAUAGUUAAAUCAAUUUAUUAUCUUUGAUCACUACAUUUGUUUUUUGACAUUAAAGUUAGAUUUAUAUUAGACUUAAUUAAUUUAUGAUUCAAUGUAUUUUUUUUUAAUUGAAUAUUAUUUUAAACAUAAUUUUUAUUUUUGUAGUUCAAAUUUCGUUCAUGCACAUUGAAUAAUUUAAUGAGUUUUGGUUCCAGGUGUGAUAUUAAGUCUCUUUAUAUUUAUUAUGGGAAAAAGUUCUACAUAACUAAAUUUGGUAAAGACUAGAAUUCUUCGAUCAAACCGUGUCAAUCAACAUAAAACCAAUUGGUUGCUAUGGUGUUAGGUUUAAAUAAAAUUGAAAAACUAGUAUAGGCAAGGUUUUUUAUUAUUUUUUUCUUUUUUUAAGGAAUAGCUCCACUAGAAAGGAAAUGAUGAUGUUUUUGAAAAAUCAUCGGUACCGGUAGUGUUUUCUUUCAAGCUAUGUCAUUGAUGUAGUAGACUAUUUUUUUUUUUUUUAGAAUACGACUUUAUUUUAAAGGGUAUACCUUUUAAUUUAAUUAUUGAAUUAGGUUAAAAUUUUGUGCUUUAUUUAUUAAUUAUAAGGUUAAAAUUUUGUAUCAAUCCAAAUGUGGAAAGGCUUUCAAAUAAAUCUAAGAAAUUAUUGUUUGGGAUUUGCAAUAAUUACUUAGUUGAUUUUUUAAAAAAAUUCUCCUUAGUUUUAAACUCUUUUAUUAUUUUUUUCAGUUUUGUUUAAGAUGUUUUUUCUAGUAUAAAUAGGAUUUUUAUCUUGUAUUUUAGGAGAUUACUUGAAGAAAUAUAUUCAAUAAUAAAAUUAUGAAUUGAAGUUUUAUAUACUAUUGAUGCAAAUAAAAGUAACACAAGAAAAUACAAAAUAAUGCUAAAACAAAUCACAUUGAAUAUUUUUUUUCAAAUAAUCUAUAAGAGGUUUGCAAUUCCUUCAAUAAACCUAAAACUUACCUAAACUAACAAUAAAAUCACAAAAUAAAGGGAAAAUAAUAAAAGUAAUAAGAAAACUAGGAAAAACAUCUUAAGUAAAGAUAAAAAAAUAAUUUUUUUUUAAUUUAAAUAGAAAUCAUAAAUCAACUAGAAAAUAUAAAAAAUCCUAAAUAGUAAUUUUUUGGCCCCUUUUGAACUAUGAUUGGUAUGAACUUUUCACCCUAAAAUCUUUUACCAAAGGUAUAGCAUGAUUUUUUUAAUUAUAUAUAUAUAUAUAUAACUCAAGGAAAGCCCAAAAGUCUUCAUAUCCAAAAUUUGAGCAUGUCUGUACCAUAGCCCAAGAAAAUGGAAAACUCUCUUUCCAGUCUUUAAAGCAUUUUAUAUACAAACAAAUUGAAAAAUGCAUUGAAAAGACCAAUUAUCCGAUCCCACAAUUUCAAUGUCAAUUUUCUCACUUUUACCCGUUUUUCCAUUUUCGCUUACAACAUGUUUGAAAUCAAAUAUCAUAAUGUUCUAAAAAUAUAUAUCAAACAUCAACUCCUAAACCUGGAAGAAUUACUAUAGAUAUGUGUUGAAUUAUUAUGGAUUAUAGUAAUGAAUUUAUUAUUUUGCCCUUCUCAAUCUAAAAACUUUACCUAUCUCUUAGGGGUAAUGCAGUCUUUUACGAAUGAUUCCACAAUAACUACCUCCGUCACGCAACUUCUCUGGAGACUUGUCUGAAGGCCAUAUCGAUUCUCCACAAAGCAAAAUUUAACACUUUUCCAAACGCCAAGAUCCCGUUUACCCCAUCAUGGAAGCUGAAAAACUGUUCCUGCUUUUUUCUCUUUUAAUGCUCCAUUUCUCAUCUUGUACAUCCCUAGACUCCUUAAAGACGAACCAAACCAUUAAAGAAGGUGACCUUCUUAUCUCCAAAGGAAAUAAUUUCGCACUGGGAUUUUUCAGUCCAGGUAGUUCUAGCAAUAGAUAUCUUGGAAUUUGGUACCAUAAAGUACCAGAACAAACUGUGGUGUGGGUUGCAAACAGGAACGAUCCAAUCAUUGGUUCCUCUGGAUUUCUCUUUAUAAACCAAUAUGGAACUUAACCUCGUUCUCUAUGUAACGUUGACCAAAAGCUUCUAGUGUGGUCUGCCAAUGUUUCAGUGGAAGAAAAUGAUACUUGUGAAGCUCAACUCUUGGAUUCUGGGAAUUUUAUAUUGAUCAGGAAAAGAAGCAGAAAGAUUGUAUGGCAAAGCUUCGAUUAUCCUACGAACAUCCUGCUUCCUGGAAUGAAACUGGGGCUGGAUCGAAAAUUAGGAAUUGAUCGGUUCCUAACACCAUGGAGAUCAGCUGAUGACCCUGUGUUCGGGGACUUUUCACUUAGGAUCAACCCAAAUGGCUCGCCACAAUCCUUUUCUAUAAUGGUAAAAGGCCAAUAUUUAGUAGAUCUACCCCUUGGCCAUGGAGAAAUCAGAUGAGCUUAUACACAAGCACUUUUGUAAAUGAUCCAGACGAAAAGUACUGUUUCUACACAGUUCCUGAUGAUUCUUAUUUGCUAAGAUUAAUAGUGGAUCAUUCAGGAGUAACAAGGCUUUAACAUGGCGAGAAAGUGAUGGUUGGUGGAAGGAAUACUGGAAGUACCCUCAGUUUGAGUGCCACUAUUAUGGAAAUUGUGGUGCUUAUAGUACGUGUGAACUCGCCAAUGUAAAUGAAUUUGGAUGUGCCUGUAUACCUGGGUUCGAGCCCAAGUACCCAUUGGAAUGGUCUACGAGAGAUGGGUCCGGUGGUUGUGUAAGGAAGCGGCUACAUACGUCUUCGGUGUGCAAUCAUGGAGAAGGGUUUGUGAAGGUGGAAAAUGUAAUUCUUCCGGACACUUCAGCUGCAGCUUGGGUGGACAUGAGCAAGAGUCGCGCAGACUGUGAACUGGAAUGCAAGAGGAAUUGUUCAUGCUCUGCAUACGCAGUCAUUGUGAUUCCCGGAAAAGGGGAUGGUUGUUUGAAUUGGUACAAGGAAUUAGUAGACAUUAGAUAUGAUAGGAGUGAAAGUCGUGAUCUGUAUGUUCGUGUUGAUGCAUAUGAAUUACGUACCCUUUUUCUGCUCAUUAACUACUUCAUAGGAUUGUCACUACAAAUAUUGAUUUAUAUGAGCGUUCCUAUGCUUGUCACUACUCUUGGCCAUAUGUAUUGUCGCACGUGUGCGAUAUCGCGGCGAAAAUAUUUACCAUAUGUGGCAAAAUAUGGGGACAAGCUAGGGAAUUCUUAUCUUUUAUUAGUAGAAAAAUGGAAUGAGAGUCGCCACCUAGUAUUUUGAUCACUAGGAACCGUAACUGGUCUCAGAGAUCGGGUAUGGGGACAAGUUGCGUAAAGGAAAGGUAUUAGCACCCCAAAUACGCCCUACCUAUGGUAAGCUGCAUUGUUUUAUUAUUUGAUAAAUCUAAAGUCUUGUCGUGCUUUCUAAUUAUUAGUCUGUCUGUGAUUUAAGAAAAAAUUCUCCUCGGUAAGGAGAUUUUUAUCUUAUCGAAAAAAAACCUAACUGUUCUAACUUCAACAAAAGAAUUUAAUAUCCGGAGUAGGUCUUACGUAUAAGAUUAUAACACUAGAUAUUAAAAGAAAACAAAAUAAUUUUUUUUUAAUUUUUUAAAUAUUGGCCUAGUUCUCGUAACUUUAAUAAACUGGUUAUUAAAGCUCAACAUGCAUGCUAAAACCUUUUUUUUUUUUCCUUAAAGAUACAAUAUGAUUUUUUUUAUUUUUUUAGAGAGACUUGGCCGUAUGCAUAAUUUUUUUUUUUUCAAUGUCUUGACGAAAACCGUGUAUUUUAAUAUUGUAUUUUUAUCUUUACAGUAUAAAAAUACAAACCAAUAUUAAUUAAAAUGCAGUAAAAAAAAUUGCGGAAAAUCACAGAAAUUUUUAAAUAAGUUUUUGAAUUUUUUUGGGUUGGGCCCAUCCCGGCCCAUGUGGCGGGGCUGGACCCAGCCAAUGACCCCGCCGGCUUUAGGAUGCAAGUGCUUACUGUUCAAGUGAAUUAUAAUUCACUUGAACAGUAAAAAUGUAAAAGGAAAUCGCAUGCACAGAGAUGAAAAACGCAUACCUGGAAGUGGAAACGAAAGAGGCGAAGGCGUGCUGGCUGGUCUCUUCUGUGCUUUCGUCUGUUUCAGUUCUUCUCCUCUGUUCCUUGUUUUCUUUUCUCUGUUUCUCUUGUUUUUUUUUCCUGAUGUUUUGCCCCUGUUCUUCUCUUCUUCAGUUCGUAUUUCGCUGCUCUCAGAGUUUAAUUCCUCCUGGUCCUAUUUUCUCCCGUGUCUGUCUCCUGCUCGUCGUCUCUUCCUCUGUCUUUUUCCUUUCCUCUGUCAUUCCCCUCUGGUUUUUUCUUUCUGGUGCAGUUGAUGCUCGUGCAUUGGCUGGCACAGUGGCACUGCUGCUCUUCGUUUCCUUUUUUAUUUUCCCAUGUUCCCCCUGUGUUUUUUUUCUUGUUUUUCUUUCUGCCCUCUUUCCCCCUGUUCCCUGGUGCAGCUGGAGGCGAAGCUGUUGCUUGGGGACGAAGACGAUGGUGAAGCUGAUAGGUCGAAGCUGCUCUCUUCUUCAGCUCUUCCUCUGUUCUUCCUUCUCUCUGUAUUUUUCUUUCUAUGUAUUUGUAAAUCUUUUUCCCUCCCUCUGUUUUCCUUCUCUCUCUCUCUCCUCUCGGGUUCUCCCUUUUAUAGCCAAAACUGCAUGCAUUUUUUUUAUAAUGAAAACGUUCAGGGCCAUUAUUGCAGUGGUAACGGUAGAGAAAGCUGUGAAACGUUCCCAUAAUUUGUGGCAUUUGUUUGCUGAAAACGAUUCCUGUUUGCUGAAACGGCUGCUUUGAAGAUGGUGAUGAAUAGUGUCUAUGGAAACGGCGCCGUUUCACAAUUCAAAUGAAUAUUUUCGAUUCGGUCCCUGGUUGUUUUGACAAUUUUGUAAUCAAGCCCCCCGGAUGAAUUGUAAUUGGAUCCCUUGAGUUUAUCGUCUUUUCCGGUUGGUCCUUGGUUUCUGAUUGUUUCAAUUAAAUCCCUAAUUGACCUCCAAACUUCAAUAAUUAUGCAAUUAAGCCCCUGAUUUAAACAAAUCAACUCUUAAAAAUAAUAAUUGGACCCCAGAACUUUAAUUGCUUCCAAUAAAAGUCUAAAUUGACUUAAAAAAUCAAUUUUCUUGCAAUUAAACUCUCCAUAGAUUCAAUUAAACCUUGAAUAAAAUUUAAUUGAGUCCAUAAACAUCUUAUUUUGGACUUUUCUUUCUCAACUUGAAUUUUCUUUGUCAAUAGGGCUCUUAUCAGUAGAAAAUAUAACAUCAAAUUUCAUUUCUUGUAUUUCUGAACCUUCUCAACCAAUUCCUAGCCAUUUUAUGAGCAUUCCAGCGUCCUUUUCUCACUCCUGUUAUUAUUAUUAUUAUUAUUUUAUUCCUUUCGAAUUUUUUUUUUUAUUUUCUCAUUUUUUGUAUGGAACUCAAAAAUGGGUAUCAACCUGUAUUGUCAUAUUUCCGUGGGCAAAUGGGGUGGGUUUUCCUAUAAUUGGUAGUUAAUCUUUUUUCUUUUCACUCUCAUGCAGCUGACACUACAAGGAAGUCAAAUAAUUCUCGUGAAAAACCGAUGCUGGCCGUUUUAUCACCAUCAAUUGCAUUAUUGUGGUUUCUCAUUGGCCUGUUUGUUUAUUUGUGGCUCCAGAAGAGAGCAAAAAAAGGUAAACAGCACUUCUACUGAAUUGGAAUAUUUCAAGCUCAGCACCAUAACGGCGGCCACUAACAAUUUCUCUCCAGCUAACAAACUCGGGCAAGGUGGUUUUGGCUCUGUUUGUAAGGUUGAGUUUCUUGCAUUUAGCUAAAAACUAAUUUGCAUAAUUGUAGUCCAGAGGCUUAAUCUUGUAAGAUGAUUUUAGGGUCUGCUGGCUAAUGGAAAGGAGGUUGCAAUAAAAAGGUUAUCUAGAAGUUGAGGACAAGGAACAGAAGAAUUUAAAAAUGAAGUUAUGGUAAUUGCAAAGCUUCAACACAGGAAUCUAGUGAAACUUCUAGGUACUGCAAUCAGGAUGGAGAACAAAUCUUAAUCUAUGAAUACUUGCCAAACAAAAGCUUGGACUCGUUUCUUUUCCGUAAGUCUCUUUAUGUUUUUAUUGCCCUGAUUUACAUUAGUUGUCUGAAAAAUAAUUGUUUCAACAGAUGAAAGCAGAAGAUUGUUAUUGGAUUGGGGAAAACGCUUUGAUAUUAUUGUUGGAAUAGCUCGUGGGAUCUUAUAUCUUCAGCAAGACUCCAGGUUGAGAAUCAUUCACAGGGAUUUAAAAUGCAGCAACAUUCUAUUGGAUGCAGAGAUGAACCCAAAAAUAUCGGAUUUUGGAAUGGCAAAAAUAUUUGAAGGCAACCAAACUGAAGAUAGGACAAGGAGAGUUGUAGGAACAUAGUAAGUACCUUUGCCUAAAACAAAGACCGAGUGACAAAGUACUAUCAUUGAUUACCAGGAAAAUUAAAACUACUCUUGUUUUUCUGAUGCAGUGGCUAUAUGUCACCAGAAUAUGUUGUGUUUGGAAACUUUUCCGCAAAAUCAGAUGUUUUCAUUUUCGGGGUCAUGUUGCUAGAGAUUGUGAGUGGCAAGAAGAACAAUAGAUUUUAUCAACAGGAUCCUCCUUUGACCUUGAUUGGAUAUGUGAGUUAUAAGAUAGCCCAUUGUGCUCUUGGCUGAAUUUCAAUGUUCACAAUUUUAGAUGUUGUCUGCUCUUAUUUCUUGUAUGUUAAUAGAUUGGUUGCACCAAGAUUGUCACAUAAGAGUAGUGGAGGCUGAGGAAGAGAAAACUUUAUUUCAGUAAAGAGUGAUAGAAUCCACAUAGACUUAGAAGCAGCGGUGACAAGCGCACGAUAUUCAACCUCCGUAGAUGAUCAUGUAAUUGCACGCUGUUUUCUGGAACUCCAAGAGAGGAGAUUUGAAUCGAGUAUAAUGAGAUAAGCUGAAGUAGAACUGCGAUUAUCCAAAUUGCCAGCCUAAUCCGCUUCUAAGUAACAUGUAAGCGGAGGAUUAACAUUUUUCUGAAUUUUCAAAUAACGCAACAACCACUUGGUGGCAGUCUAGUGAAUUGUAGAAGGGCAGUCCAUGAACUGUGACAAUUUGUUGACUGCAAAGCUGAUGUUGGGUCGAGUGAGUGAAAGAUAUUGCAAUGCUCCAAUUACCUUGCGACAUUCAGUAAGAUUGAUAGCAUCUGCGCUAUCAUUUAAUUUCAGAGAGAUCGAAGUUGAUAGUGGAGUGGUGACAUCUUUUGCUCCAUCCAUGCAAGUUCUGGCAAGAAGAUCCCUGAUGUAUUUAUGCUGAGUGAGGAACAACUCAUUCUGCGUGGGAAUAACUUCAAUGCCAAAGAAGAAAUGCAAGGGUCCUAAGUCUUUAAGAGAGAACUUCUUGCCAAGUUGUUGUAUAACACUUGCAGCAAAAUGAGAGUUGUUGCUGGUGAUAAUUAAAUCGUCAACAUACACCAGAAAGUAAGUAGUAGUGGACGCAAUAUUAUAGACAAAUAUUGAAGAAUCAGACUUGGUAUUGACAAAACCAAAUUCUAGAAUAGCUUGUUUAAGUGCAGUAUACCAAGCAUGUGGUGCUUGUUUAAGGCCAUAGAUUGCCUUCUUAAGACAAAAAACAGAAUCUGGUGAAGAUUGGUCCUGAAAUUCAGGAGGUUGCGACAUGUAUAACUUCUUUUGUGAGAGUGCCAUGGAGAAAUGCACUGUUUUAUGUCUAACUGAUGGAGAGGCCAUCCAUGCAUCACAACAACUGAUAAAAUAGUGCGAAUAGUCAUUGGUUUUACUACAGGACUAAAAGUCUGAGUAUAAUCCAAACCGGGUUUUUGAUUGAAACCUUUGGCCACUAGUCUGGCUUCAAAUCUGUCAAUUGAGCCGUCAGCAAGCCUUUUAACCUGAAACACCCACUUGCAUCCAAUAAUGUUGCAACCCAUGGGAGGUGGUACCAGAUGCCAUGUAUCAUGGCGCAUAAGAACUGUAAGCUCUAAGGACAUUGCAACACGCCAUUGAGGGUCAGUUAAGGCAUGAGUCAUUGAUAUAGGUUCCAUAGAUGGAGGUAAUGGAUGUUUGGUAACCAUAAACAAGCUUUUAGGCUUAUAGAUGUUGUUCAUAGAUCGAGUAACCAUACGAUGGGGACGAGGUUCAGUAGUAGGAAGUACCAUAGGAGCAUGACUAACAAUUAAAUUUUCAGAGGAAGUUUCAGUUUGAGCAGGAGAAUAUACCUGUGAGGGAACUGAUGUUGGAGGUGAAGCUACCAAAGGUGAUGAAGGAGCAGCGGUACCCAGUGCAGAAGUAAUUGAUUCUGCUGGUCGUGUAGGAUAUAACAAUGGCAGACUUAUGGAAAUCGGGUGAGAAGAACCGAGAGCACUGGUUGCAGGUUGGGAUUUUACAGAAGAACAAGUAUUAGUUAGAGCCAUGGGAAAGACAGUCUCAUCAAAGAGCACAUGUCUGGAGUGAUAUACUUUUAUGCUGAGAAGAUUUAGACACAAAUAAGCAUUUUGGGUUAAAGAGUAACCCACGAAAACACAUAACACGACUUUGGUUUGAAGUUUAUGUGUAUUGUAGGGUCUGGUCAAGGGAUAGUAGAGACACCCAAACUGCUUUAGUUUCAUGUAGUUAGGAUUUUGAUGGAAAAGCAAUUCGAAGGGUGUUUUGUUAUUCAUAGUUGAGGUUGGCAUACGAUUGAUCAAGUAUGUUGCAACUUGAAAUGCAUAAGGCCAGUAGGAAGGAGGCAUUGGGCAUUGGUGAGAAGAGUGAGACCUGUUUCAACAAGGUGUCGAUGUCGUCUUUCAGAUAUUCCAUUUUGUUGUGGAGUGUGGGGAGCAAUGGUAUAAUGACCAAUGCCAUGAACAUAUAAAUAAUUUUUAAGAGCAAUGUAUUCACCUCCAUUGUCAAAAUAUAGACUUUUGAUUUUGGUGUUGAACCUGUUUUCCACAAGAUUUUGAAAUUGAGGAAAGAUAGUGUGAACACAUGAUUUAUAGGACAUAGGAUAAAGCCAUAUAUAUUUAGUAUAGUGAUCAACAAAAAUAAUGUAGUAUUUUGAACAAUCAAUACCAGUGUCAUAAGCCGGACCCCAAACAUCAGUAUAAAUGUAUUCGAGGGGUGCUGUACUAACAAAACCAUGAGAUUGAAAUGUUUUUCGGUGGGCUUUAUUGUGAGAACAUGAGACAUAAAGAGAUGAAUUUUCUUUUGUUUUUCUGACAGGUAAGGAAAAAGUGCGGAUAAGAUGUUGAGCAAUUUUGGAAGAUGGAUGACCAAGUUGUUUGUGCCAUCCAUCUGUUGUUGUGUUCAUGAACAUAAGCAAUAACAGGUUUGGAAGCCAUAGUCAUUGUUUCCGGUAAAGGGUACACACCAUCCUCACAUGCACCUUUUAGUAGUGUCGUCCCCGUGAUCUGAUCUUUCACAAGAAAAUAAGAGAGAUGAAACUCAAGAUAGACAUUAUUUUGUUUAGUAAAGUGAUGAACAUAAAUUUUUUUUUUUUAACUUCAAGAACACAUAGAGUGUCUUUCAAUAAGUGAAGGGAGUGAAAGCUAGCAUUAUUACAAAUAUUUAGCGGCAACUUGCAGAGCCUGUUACUUCAAGAAUCUAAAGUACAAAGUCAUAAAAGCAAAUGCACAUCUUUAGAAAAAUGUUCAAAACAUUGCGUACUCAGGUGACAUAUAGCCACUGCAUAAGAAAAAUGUUGUCACGACCCGAUUCCCGGAUCCAUGACCAGCACAUAGGCAAGAUUCCCCUUCAAAGUUCCAUAUCUAUACAAACCCAAAUUUACAUACAAUCUUAUCAUUUAAACAACUCAAUAAGAGUUCAACACAACAUUAACAACUAACUAACUUUUUAUAAUACAAUUUGAUUGUCUUAGUACAAGAGUUAAUAUAAUUUUAUAGUUCUAGAGCACUCACUAGACAUAAAGGAAAAGGUACAAAUUUCAAUCAAAAGAGCAGGUUCGGAAGGUCCAACAAAAGUGAGCUGCUAUCAAGCUAUAGGCCUGAAAAAGGAUAAAUAAUGAGAGGGUGAGUUCAACAACUCAGUGAGUAGAUAACGUUCAAUAUACACACACAAGGUAAUACAACAAUGAGAAAUGUAUAUACAAGCAUUGUUCUAGGUUCUUAUAAGAAGGUUUAUCAAAAAGGCCAUAACAAGAAUAUUAUAAGGUAAAGCUCGUCAAAAAAUCAAAAUGCAAUGAGAAUGAGGCUCCGUACUAUGGGAUGAUCAGUCCACACAGGUUGGUGACUCCCCCGACCAACUAGGGUUCAAAUACGAUGUGCACAAAGACUAACGCUACCUUGUUAGCAUGAGUAUUCUGACUGACAUACCAUAGGUUCUAAUAAUAACCAAACAGACAUUUUCAUAUCUCAAGGCUCAACUCCUGACAUCAAUCAAAUGAGGAGCUAUCAAUUCAGAAGUCAAUUCAAAAUAUAUAUACUGGUUCAUAUCAAGAAUUCAGACUCAACAAUUGAUCAUGCUUUAUCAUAACAAGGAUAAUAAUCAACAUAUAUAUUAUCAAGAAGCAUGAUCCAAUUCAUAUUAACAAAUCAAAUACUUAUAAUAUUUCUCAUACAUAUGAAAAAUUAUUCACUCACUUGACUCGAAAACAAACAAAACUCAAAGCUGAUACCAAAGGAAAUCCUACUGACAUCACGCCAGUAGAAUAUCAGGAUUAUCUGAAUACAACAGAGACAUAUUCAAAAAUAACUCAAAAGAACAUACAACCUAUUUAAUACAUUUAUCUAAGGGUAUAUUCUAUAACCCUAUAUGUUUUUAUACUAAACUAGAUAUUUUUCUAAAAAUCCAAAAAUUAACAGUUUUCUCGAAAUCUAAUCCAUAAUAAAACAAAUAAUAAGACUUGAUAAUAAUUCACUAAAUAACCCUCAUUUAUUCAUCAAACCAAUAUGAAAAGGCUAAUAUUACAGCUAGGGACCAAUCUGGAAUUUAUCAUUUUUUAGGGCUAAAUUGUAAUUUUCAUCUAAUUGGAGGACCAAAUAAAAAUAUCAUAAAUAUCAUAUAGUGUAAUUAUGUCCAUAAUUCAUCGUCCAGAAUCUCUAAUUAUGCUUCAGGGACCCUUCUGGAUUUUUUCCAAAAUUUUAGGGUCAAAUUGUAAUUUGUUUUCAAAUUGGAGGACCAAAUUGAAAGUGUUUAAAAUUCAUAAAUCUACUGGAAUUCUUCCCAUAAUUCAUAUCUUAUUCUGUUCAAAAUAUCAGAAUAUGCUCCAGUGACCAAUUUGUAAUUUUCCAAGUUUGGGGACUAAACUGUAAUUUGUACAAAUUGAGGGACCAAACCGAAAUUUUGUCAUCUUCAACCUCAAACCCAGAAUUUCAACAGAAAACCUACUAUUUUUCCAGAUUUCUAACUCAAAAUUCACCAUCUACACAAAUCAUAACUUAAAAUCAUAAUCUUUACCUAUAAUCUUCCAUAAUCAACUAAAUAAUCAAUUACCCACAAUAAUCAACCUUGUGACAUUCAAAUUAAUUCAUCAAUUAACCCAAAACACAAUCUUCAAAACCCUAAUAUUUAUUAAAAUAGAAAUUAAAAGCUCAAUUAACACACUUAUACAUUUAGCAACCUAAAUCUUACCUUUAAACUUAUUACCUCCCAAUCUCUUCCUUUUCUCUUCUUCUUCUUCCUCCUCCCUUCUCUCUCACGGUUUGCUCCUUCAAUUUUCAGAUCCCUUUUUUUUUUCUAUUUAUAUUUAUCAAUUAUUGUUCAAUUACCACAAUACCCCUCAUUUAAUUAUACUUCUAAGCCUCUAAGGGCUUGGUUGCCUUUUCCUACUAAUCUAUUUUCAAAACAUCACAAAUGUGAAAGAUUGCCAGUUAAUGUUAUCAUUCUUGAUGAAAAUCGAUGCAUGGUAUUCUAUUAAUCUAUAUCUCUGGGUGAGUAAAUGUACUUACUAUGUUCCCACAACUCUUUUUGUGUUGUCCAGAAUUUGGUCGCUUUUGAAUAUUCUAGCAAUUCCAAAAUCUAAGAUUUUUGGAUUCAUCUCUACAUCCAAUAGAAUGUUGCUGCAUUUCAAGUCCCUGUGAAUGAUUCUCAACCUUGAAUGACUUCGUUUGUAAAUUCUUGUAUCCCUUGUCUUGAAUUGUUUGAUAGUCUCUUGACAGCAAUCUUCUCACCAUCAGGUAGCACACCCUAAAAUCAUAUUACAGGAGUAAACAUUUACAACCCAGAACAAUCAGUUCAAGGACUUGAAGCCUUGAAGUGCAUACAAAUCAAAAUGUAUCAUCCGCGUGAAGCCUUGAAGUGCAUACAAAUCGGUCUACUGUGCGUGCAAGAAGAUGCCGCGGACAGACCAUCUAUGUUGGCAGUUGUUUUUAUGUUGAGUAACGAAACAGAGAUUCCUUCUCCAAAACAGCCUGCAUUCCUUUUUAGAAAAUCUUAUAAAUUUCCUGAUAUAGCAUUAGACGUAGAAGAUGGACAGUGUUCUGUAAAUGAGGUGACAAUUACUGAAAUUGCUAGUCGCUGAAGUUGUACGAUUUGAAUAAUUGCUAAUGUUCUCUUUAUAUUCUUGAUCUUUUUAAUUCGUUACAAGCAUCUCUAAUUUUACUAUAACAGUAAUCUUUUCAGGAAGUUCAUACAUGCAAAUGUUCUCUUCCAAAUUUCAAUGCAGGCUAUGUUAAAGCUGCAGAGAUUGAAACAAUUAAACUUGCUGUUGAAGGAUAGAUGAUUUUAACAUAGAAGAGCUGUAGCAGAGAGCUUAUAAUUUCAUAAAUAAGAAUGUCUAUUUAAAGGCUUACAACCAAACUGAAAAGGUUAAAAAUUCUCAACAACAAUCAGAUAUUAUUGGCAUUACUUCUACUAACUGAAAACAGAACAUAAAGGAGCAAAAUCUGAUAUAAAACAAUAAUCAAAGACUAAGUCCAACUAAACUUGUUUCAUACAUCAGAGGCAGAUUCUCAUGAAUUCUAACAAAGCAUACCAAGAUACUGAAAAACAAAAGUAAUGAAAGAUUAGAGCUGUCUGAAUUUCAAGAACAGUUUCAACCUCCCUAAAUAGUCAUGUUUUCGCUUUGCCUUCCCCUCUCUCCUAGGGACAUGAGUUUUAGGUGGUUUUGGAACAUCCUUAAUUUACUACUGAAGAAACCAAGUAACUUGAUCGUUCUUGCUUGGAAUUGCUAAGAGGAAAGGUGUGUAUGGAAGUUCACUGAAACAUACUAGAAUAGAAUGUAAAGAUUGAAACAGAAUUUUGAACUUUGAACUUUGGAUCUUGAUGUUGUCAGCAUGCAGGGCAACAGGUGGAAUUGAGUCGGGUUGUUCCUUGUCAUCUUCUUCUUCCUCAAAUAUUGUAUGAGGUUGUUUUGGAGAAGGAAUAGCUACUCCAGAACUGGUCAGCACGAGAACAACAGCUAACAUGGAAGGUCUUUCCAUUGCGUCUUCUUGCACGCACGAAACCGUAUCUGGCGAACUACCCCAUGGCCAUGGAGGACCCAGAAGACUAGUUUUCUAAAUGAUCAAGAUGAGAUAUGUAUGGCAUCUGUUGUCCCUCUUCCUGAUGCACUGUUAUACAAAGACAAAACAUUAGAGAUGAGUUGAUUUGUCACUCAAGGAGUUGUAUUAUCCUCAAGAAGCCUUGAAAUGCAUUCGAAUUGGGUUGUUAUUUGUGCACGAACAUGCUAUGGACAAGUCAUCUGUUUGAUAUAGGUUCUUUUAUAUUGCCUCAAUUAAGUAACAAUUUCAGAUUGGAAUUUUAAAUUAACUGUUUUGAAUUCUAAAUUUAGUCUUAAAUCUACUCACAUAAUUUUAAAUUUGAUCUACAAAGUUGAACAUGCAAUGGAUUAGAGUAUAAAUAUGAUUAAAUCCAUUUCUAUAUACACAACAGUUUUAUUUUAGCCCAAAUUCAAGUUCAAGUAAACCCAAACCCAACUUAAGUUAACCUAGCAAUAUAAGAGAAAAAUUAUAAGAGAAUUACUUUUUUCCUUUCUUUUAAUUCUUGUGAUUGUCGUGACUCUUCCAUCAUCAAACCAAAAAUUUUAGUUUUUGAUCUUGAGUUUUUAGUUCAAGAAAAAUAAAAAUAGCAAGUAAAUGGUUCUCUUUCAUAUUACUUUUGAUUAUAGUUUUUUUUAUAGAAUGAUUAAGGAAAAUAUUAGGGUUUAUAAGGAUUUGAAGUUUAUAAUGUUAAGAUUGAUUUAUGAUUAUUAAGGGUUUAAUGUAAGGUGAUUGAUUAGUAUGUUGUUGGAAGUAAGGAUUUCUAAGUUGAUUUGUUUAAAUUGAUUUUUAUGGGUUAAGAAACACAUUUCAACUUUGCUGGAAAAUCUGAACAGAAUGGUUUUGAGGUUGAAGAUGAUGAAAUUUUAUUUUGGUCAUUGAUUUAUGAAAAUUACAGUUUAAUCCCUAAAUUUUGAAAAAAUUAUAAUUUGAUCCCUAAAUGUAUUUUGCGAUUCUGGACACUGUUAUUAUGAGUUUAAGGAUGAUGAAUCUCAGUUUGAUAAUUGAUUUGGAAUAUUUUUAGUUUGGUCCCUCAAUUUUGGGAAUUUACAUUUUAGUCCUUGAACUUUAUGAAAAUUGCAGGUCGGUCCAUGGUUCGUUCUAUACAGAAUUGAGGAUGGUUUAUGGGUGAAAUUUUGGUAUGGUUAUGUAUUUACAGUUUGGUCCUCCAAUUUUGGUAAAAUUACAUUUUGGUCCCUGUUUUGAAAAAUUGUUGUUUUAGUCCCUAAACUUAGGAGAAUAAACCUGGUUUUAUUUUAUGCAUUGGUAUCUUUUAUUUGUGUUGUUUUGGGUUAAUUUUUAGUAUAUUGUAUAUUGUUGCAGGUUCUCGUAAUGAUUCUCAAUAGGAUUUUUGGAUUUUUCAUCUGACAUUCCUUUUACUUCUAUAUUUUUCGGAUGAGUGGAAUAAUCUUUAAUAUGUAUAUAAUAUAAUGUAAAUAAUAUGUAUGUUAAUUAUAUGAUGAGUACGACUAGUUAAUUUAUUGAAUAUUUAUAUAUGUUGCUUUAUUUUUCAAGUACUCAUUUAUUUUUAAAUUAUCACCUACAAGCUAUUGCCUAUUGGUUUCAAGUUUGAAAGGUCUUGAGAACUUGAUAAAAUUGCAAUGCAAUGAUUUGAGUUUUUUGUUGAAAUGUUGAUGAUGAUCUUCCCUACAAUCUUCAUUGUAUAGUGACAUUAAUUGUCGAUUAUCUCCCACCUUUUAAAGUUAUCCACUAAUUAUUUGUGAAUUGAUGAUAAUCUUCCAUCUAUUAGAGUUCUUUCCAUGACCUCACAUCCAUAAAUACAUGGCUUGUUAUACUUGCUUGUAGAGUUAAUCCUUUGUGAAUAUUCCUUUUUUAUACGUGGCAAUAACCCUUAUCUUCUAAGUUUCUUUUAAUUAAUCCAAUUAUUAGAUAGUUAUUAUAUUUCUCUUUAUCUAUUUCCCAUAAAAAUCUAUAGUAUAACACAAUCCAUGGUGGUAAUUGUUUACAUGUUGAAUCAUAGUGAAAUAAAUAUUCCUUUUGAAAAACAACCUAUAUUCAUUCUUAAGAAACCUUGUUGUGAUUGUCACAUUCUGUUGGAUGUAAAAGAAGUAGACAAAACUAUAUUCAUAAUAUUUGUCUUUGCUUAACUUCUUUGCAUAUCAUGACUUCUGUGAUUAUGACAUGGUAAGAACUAACAUAAGCUAGUUCUAACAAGUUUAUAGUGGUAAUUUUUUGCAUAAAAAAGAAUGGCAUGGCUAUCUACUUUUCUCUUUUUGAAAAAUCAACGUCAUCAACCAGUCUAGUGCAUAGCUUAUAUCUAGUCCUACAAGUAACGUAUCUUAAUGAGUUUUUUUUUUUUUUCCUGAAAUUGAUAAAUAUAAAAGCAAGAUAAAAACGAAAAAAAAAAGAGAGAAUCUGAAAUUGAGAGAGAGAGAGAACCAAAAGUAGAAGAGGAAGAGGAAAAGGAAGAAGAAGAAGAGAAGAAGAGAGAAAGAGGGAAAUAUACAUAGAUUUGGAGAAAUAGUGUUUAAGGUAAGAGUUAUGCUUUAAUGUGUAAUUAUAGUAUUUAGCUCUAAUUUUGGUUUUGUUAAGGUUUAGAGUUUUAAAAUUUGUGUUUUAGCAUUAGAUUGAUGGAUUAAUUAAAGUGUUAUAGGUAAAUUGUUAUGGGUUUAUUGAAUUAUUAUGGUUUUUGAGGUUUUGGGUUAAAAUUUGUUAGACCAAACACAUGAAAAAUCAAAUCCUUCCAUAUUUUUUUGCGUAGCACUGACAACUCUAGUUAUUCUUAGGAACCAAAAUCAAGUUCUAAAAAACUCAAAACAAAAAUAACAAAGAAAAUAUAUAUAUAUAUAGCAACNNNNNNNNNNNNNNNNNNNNNNNNNNNNNNNNNNNNNNNNNNNNNNNNNNNNNNNNNNNNNNNNNNNNNNNNNNNNNNNNNNNNNNNNNNNNNNNNNNNNNNNNNNNNNNNNNNNNNNNNNNNNNNNNNNNNNNNNNNNNNNNNNNNNNNNNNNNNNNNNNNNNNNNNNNNNNNNNNNNNNNNNNNNNNNNNNNNNNNNNNNNNNNNNNNNNNNNNNNNNNNNNNNNNNNNNNNNNNNNNNNNNNNNNNNNNNNNNNNNNNNNNNNNNNNNNNNNNNNNNNNNNNNNNNNNNNNNNNNNNNNNNNNNNNNNNNNNNNNNNNNNNNNNNNNNNNNNNNNNNNNNNNNNNNNNNNNNNNNNNNNNNNNNNNNNNNNNNNNNNNNNNNNNNNNNNNNNNNNNNNNNNNNNNNNNNNNNNNNNNNNNNNNNNNNNNNNNNNNNNNNNNNNNNNNNNNNNNNNNNNNNNNNNNNNNNNNNNNNNNNNNNNNNNNNNNNNNNNNNUUUUUAUUGCCCUGAUUUACACUAGUUGUCUGAAAAAUAAUUGUUUCAAACAUAUGAAAGCAGAAGAUUUGUAUUGGAUUGGCGAAAACGUAUUGAUAUUAUUGUUGGAAUAGCUCGUGGGAUCUUAUAUCUUCACCAAGACUCCAGGUUGAGAAUCAUUCACAGGGAUUUAAAAUGCAGCAACAUUCUACUGGAUGCAGAGAUGAACCCAAAAAUAUCAGAUUUCGGAAUGGCAAAAUAUUUGAAGGCAACCAAACAGAAGAUAGGACAAGGAGAGUUGUGGGAACAUUGUAAGUACCUUUGCCUAAAACAAAGACCGAGUGACAAAGUACUAUCAUUGAUUACCAGGAAUACUAAAACUUCAGAUUCUUGUUUUUCUGAUGCAGUGGCUAUAUGUCACCAGAAUAUGCUGUGCUUGGAAACUUUUCUGUAAAUCAGAUGUUUCAGUUUUGGGGUCAUGUUGCUAGAGAUUGUGAGUGGCAAGAAGAACAAUAGAUUUUAUCAACAGGAUCCUCCUUUGACCUUGAUUGGAUAUGUGAGUUAGUGGCUGAAUUUCAAUGUUCGCAAUUUUAUAUGUUGUCUGCUCUUAUUUCUUGUAUGUUAAUGAUUUAUAUGAACAACACAGGUGUGGGAAUUAUGGAGAGAGAAAAAGCAUUGGAGAUAGUUGAUCCAUCACUGACGGAGUUGUAUGAUCGCGUGAAGCCUUGAAAUGCAUACAAAUCGGUCUACUGUGCGUGCAAGAAGAUGCCGCGGACAGACCAUCUAUGUUGGCAGUUGUUUUUAUGUUGAGUAACGAAACAGAGAUUCCUUCUCCAAAACAACCUGCAUUCCUCUUUAAAAUCUGACAAUAAUCCUGAUAUAGCAUUAAACGUAGAAGAUGGACAGUGUUCUGUAAAUGAGGUGACAAUUACUGAAAUUGCUAGUCGCUGAAGCUGUGCUGUCUGAAAAUUUGCUAAUAUGAAGUUCCAUUUGAUUUGUAAUGAAAACAAAUAUGUUAUGCUAGACGUACCCACUGCUAGACGUACAUCACAACAGAUCAAGCUCUUCAGCGCUAGACGUACCCACUGCUAAAACUCCCAACUGAUCCAUUCUGCCUAACAGCAUCAUAUAUGUUAUGCUAUAGGUGUGGUGUUCGUCAACUAUUCUUUUAUGGAUAGUUACUCUAUCUACCUUCUGUUUUGAUGCUUGCUUUGUCUUUGCCUUUUUCAGCCAUGUUGAACCCACAGUUGGAUCAAGAACGGUCAGCAAUUCCUUUUCAAGAAUACCAUUUGAUGCCCUUGCAUUCUGCACGAGAAUGGGUAGAGUACAGAGACAAUAACUUUGUGAUUGAAACAGAACAAAGACAAUAACUUUGAAGAUCAGACGCCUUUUCUCACUAAUAUUUUGUUUAUGAAAAAUGUUUCUGAAAAUAGUAGUUUUUAUUGGGAAAUUCAGCGCAAAACAAGUAGUAAUUUAAGUGCAUCGACUCGAAUAUACAGAUCAUAUCUAAUACACUUGUGAAGGUACUUUUUCUACCUUCACAAACCCUUGAGUUCAUACCCAGGUAAACAAGCACAUUCAUAUCUGUUAAUGUCAGCAGGUUGAAAUGUACAUCAACAGGUGUAUAUAUAGACAAAGUAUAUUUCAUCUUGAAUGCUUACAAAGCUUUCCUUGUAUAAUUGCAUCUGGCCUCUCCAUGGCUAUAUAUGGGACUGUUCGCCAAUAAUGUCCUGUACCCUUGGAGAGAGAGAAUUGUGGGAAAUAAGUAAAUAUUUUGAUUCAAUAAUUUGUGUUUUGAAAGUAAAAAAUAAUUGGAAACUAGAGUUUAAAAAAAUAAAUAAAUUAUAUUUAUAAGAAUAUUGAUCCCAAUGCAAGUGUCAAAGUACUUUCAAAGCAAGCUAAGUUUAUAUAAAGAAUUUGUUUUUGUUAAUUUUGUCAUGUGAUAUGAUAAAUGAAAUUCAUUGUCAUUUCCAGUUGAUCUUGGCUCAAUUUUCUUCAUUUUAAAUGUGAAAGAAAAAAAAUAGUAAUAAUAAAUAAAAUAAAAUAAUAAAUUAGAUUUUUAAUUUUUUUUAUUAAUUAAGGGUAUUAUAGUAACAAUUAAUAUAUUAGUAAUUACAUAAUAAUUUAAAGGAUGAAAAUAAAAUAAAAUAAAAUUUUAUAGCAACUUACAUCAGACGAUUAAAACCCACAUCAAUACCAAGAAGUAUAGGAAGCUCAAGAAGAAGGUUUGAUUUAUAGCCAAAAUCUUUUUUUUUUUUUUUUUACCAAUUUGAGGUACGUGUUUUCUAUCCUUAUAUUUUAAUUGAGUGUUUUUAUGCAUUUUAGGGUUAUUGAAAAAGGUUUAGGAAUUAUAUUUCUUAUUAUAUUAUGUUUUUAAUUACUUUUAUGGACAUGGUGUAAUACUAAUGAUGUCAUAGAUUGAUAGGAAGUCAUUAUAAGUGAUUUUACAUGUUUUUAGUAGAUUAAUUUGAAGUAAUAAUGAAAUUAAGAGAUUUGAAAAAAAAUAAUGAGAUGGUAAUUUUAAAGCGCCGGAUUAUAGCCUUCCAAUGAUUGUUAUGGUUGAAAUUUAGUACCAGUUAUAAUAUGUUGUAAGUUUUUUGAUUUGAUGGGUCACUUGUCCAAAUCAAAGUUGUGGAUUAAAAAUUAUGAUGUUCAUAUGCAAGUCACUUGGAAUUUGUUUUUUAAUUAAAGAGUGCAAUUCUCCCUGAAUAUUUUAUGACCCUAAAAAUUAUUGUUUUGAUUGAAUAUGUUACUAGGAAAUUUUAGUGUGCUUUUAAUAUUUUUUGAGUAUUUUUAAAUUUAUUAAAAAAGUAUUUUUUAUUAGUGAAAUUUAGUAAUUAAUAACUAAAAUUUAUUUUGAAGAGUGAUGAAUAACUUUUAUAAUUAAGUUUAAAACAUUUUAAUAUACUACUAUUAAUUUCUUGUCAUGUAGAAUUUGAAUAAGUGAAAAGUAUUUCAUAAAGAACUUGAUUUGUAUAUGAAUUAAUUUAUUUACUAAAUAAUUUAUUUAAAAAAUAGUUGCACUUGAUAAUUUUUGACACCUUCACUUUAAUUAUACUUAUAAUAUUGUUUUAGUUGAAAAAAAAUAUUUAUUAUCCUUUUCUAAUAGAUUGUAUCAUGUUAUUAAAUUUGAACUAUAAUAGUGAUAUGUUUUACAUCAUUAUUUUUGGUAUUUAAUUAUUAAAAAUAGAUAUUUUAAAAGUAAAAUAGGGGGUUGUAAUAACAUGGUUCUAGUAUUGGGUGAUUUUUGGUAUUUAAUUAUUAAAAAUAGAUAUUUUAUAAGAAAAAUAGGGGGUUGUAAUAACAUGGUUCUAGUAUUGGAUGAUUUUUGGUAUUUAAUUAUUAAAAAUAGAUAUUUUAUAAGAAAAAUAGGGGGUUGUAAUAACAUGGUUCUAGUAUUGGGUGAUUUUUCAUGGGAAUUAUAGGGUCAUUUAAGCAAGUGAUGUAAUUAAUUUUUUUUUUUAAAUUAGGAAUUAGAAACAAGCUCAUAUAUCACAUUGGAUAUCAGUGAGCAUAUAAUUUAUAAUGAUUGUUAUUGUUAGGAGUACUUGGUUGUCUGUAAGACUAAUAUUGGAUUUGCGUAACACGCAAGUAAUAUUUCAUCACUUUGGUUAAUUAUUUUAAGUUAGAAAAUAUAUAUUUAUGUACAAAAUGAGUUUUUCAAAUAAUUAUUGUUUUGUAAAUUAGGUGAAUCAUGCAUGUAAAUUAUUUUGUAAAUAAUGUUAAGUGUUUUAGAAAAAUAUGUUUAUGAUUGCAAAAGUUCUUUGAAUAUAUUUUAAGCUAUAUUUAUCUGUACUAUGAUGUCGUGAUCAUACAAAUUAAUUACCAUAACUUAAACAAAUAAGUUAAUAUAGAGCAAACAAAUGGUCGAUCCCAUGAGAAAGAUCUAGUUCAGGUUUUUUUGCUAAAUGAUGCAAAGUUGGAGGGUUGAGAUUAUCUAAGCUAUGGUAGGGUAAACAAAAUAAAGUAAUCAAACUAAGUUAAAUAAACCAAAACUUAUUAAGAGAAAAACAUUUCAAGUAAAUGUCCAACGACAUAAUAAAAAAUUGAUUAUUGAAACGAUUCGUCAAUUUAUAUUUUGAAUAUUUAUUUUUUUUAAUAUAAAUUAGUUAACCGAUCCACAAUAUAACUAACCUAACCAUUAAACAACCAUUGCGUCCGCACUAGCAAUUUAAUUCAACGGCAGCCUUAAGAUCUAGAUAGGUUGAUAAAUCUAAACAACAUAGCUGUCUGCAAUCUAUGUUCAAUUUAAUUGAAUGUUUUCCCUAAAAUUAAUAGCAUAGAUCUUUCAUAACUAUUAAACUUAGUUGCUUCACAAGUUAAAUAUCACAAACUCUGAUUUUGAUAGAAAACUUAGCAAUAGAUUGGUUAGAAUAAUAACUUAGAGUCCGUUUUAAUCAAUCAAACUAAACAAUCAUAGAAAAAAACAUAGAAAACAUUCAUACUCAUCAUAUAAACUAAAAAGAAAAGAUAAAAUAGAUCUCAUAGCUUUUUAAAUAUGAAGGCUUUUAUAUCCUUUCAACCAAGAAAAAUAACUUAGUCUUGUAUGACUAUAAAAAAUCUAAGGAAAAGAAAGGAUGAAAACAUAAUUUUGAGUGUAGGAAAAAAGAUGAGAGUUUCUUUCUUUUUUUGGCCGCCUCCGUCUCUUUCUCUCUCUCUCUUUCUUUUUAUAUGAUAGGAAACCAUAAUCCUCACAUUCCUAGUAGUCCGUUUGUAUCCUAAAAUAAUAAAAGUCAUUUCAAACGUAGAUAAUCUUUAUUUAAGUAAUACAAGAACUACUUUCUUAUAAAGAAGGAAAAACAGUCUUGCAUAAAAUCUUCAAGCUUUGACUUUGGAAUUCGUGAAUUUAAUUUGCUCAAAUAAAAACCUUUUUCAUAUGAAAAAAUAAUUGUCAUGUUGGUUUGGAUGUUUAAGACUUAUUUCUUCACAAAACCUGUUUGUUAAUAUAAUUUAUAGGUUGUCUUAGAAAUAUCAUAUCUCUCAUAUGAGCUUCUUCUUUUUUCUGUUGAAAUUUGGUAGGUUGAUAGGUCUUUAAAUUAGAAAAAAAAAAUUGAGUUUACAUCAAAUAGACUUCUCUAACUCAAGAUAUUCAAGUCGGAAUGAUCUAUGGUCAAAACUAGCAGAAUGCGAGACUUGUUUUUGAAGGUUGUGAUUUCAAAACUCUUUUUUUCUCUUGCCAUAUAUGUAUAAAAAAGUAUGGAUGUUACUUUCUAGUUACAUAGAAUUCACUUCAUUUCGACCAAUACAACUCAAGUUCUGUUUAAAAUAUCAAUCAAAUGCCAAAUAUAUCAAUAUUCGACACUGGCUGGAAUAUAGUCUGAAUUUUAUAAGCAAAUUACUCAUUUUUGAAUCUUAUAUCCAAAAGUACCUUCAAAACAUAAAACAAAUAACAUCAAGAUCUUUUAUAUAUAAAAUAUGGACAAAAUACUAUAAUAUUUCGAUAUAUAGUAUAAAACAUGGGCAAAAUAUUAUAAUAUUUCAAACACGGGUAAAUUUAGGUAAAAUUAUCAAAUAAUAUAGUAGUAUUAAUUUAUAAGUUUUGACAUAUUUGAUCUAGUUAAGCAAAUGAUUUGUUAUUAGUAUGUGCUCACCUCUUAUUUAAUUUUGGAAGAGGCUUAGAAUGUCAUCUAGUUGUUUUAGAAGUUUAUAGUUAAUUUCUAGGCUUUAAUAUUUAAAUAGUUAAAUCAAUUUAUUAUCUUUGAUCACUACAUUUGUUUUUUGACAUUAAAGUUAGAUUUAUAUUAGACUUAAUUAAUUUAUGAUUCAAUGUAUUUUUUUUUAAUUGAAUAUUAUUUUAAACAUAAUUUUUAUUUUUGUAGUUCAAAUUUCGUUCAUGCACAUUGAAUAAUUUAAUGAGUUUUGGUUCCAGGUGUGAUAUUAAGUCUCUUUAUAUUUAUUAUGGGAAAAAGUUCUACAUAACUAAAUUUGGUAAAGACUAGAAUUCUUCGAUCAAACCGUGUCAAUCAACAUAAAACCAAUUGGUUGCUAUGGUGUUAGGUUUAAAUAAAAUUGAAAAACUAGUAUAGGCAAGGUUUUUUAUUAUUUUUUUCUUUUUUUAAGGAAUAGCUCCACUAGAAAGGAAAUGAUGAUGUUUUUGAAAAACAUCGGUACCGGUAGUGUUUUCUUUCAAGCUAUGUCAUUGAUGUAGUAGACUAUUUUUUUUUUUUAGAAUACGACUUUAUUUUAAAGGGUAUACCUUUUAAUUUAAUUAUUGAAUUAGGUUAAAAUUUUGUGCUUUAUUUAUUAAUUAUAAGGUUAAAAUUUUGUAUCAAUCCAAAUGUGGAAAGGCUUUCAAAUAAAUCUAAGAAAUUAUUGUUUGGGAUUUGCAAUAAUUACUUAGUUGAUUUUUUAAAAAAAUUCUCCUUAGUUUUAAACUCUUUUAUUAUUUUUUUCAGUUUUGUUUAAGAUGUUUUUUCUAGUAUAAAUAGGAUUUUUAUCUUGUAUUUUAGGAGAUUACUUGAAGAAAUAUAUUCAAUAAUAAAAUUAUGAAUUGAAGUUUUAUAUACUAUUGAUGCAAAUAAAAGUAACACAAGAAAAUACAAAAUAAUGCUAAAACAAAUCACAUUGAAUAUUUUUUUUCAAAUAAUCUAUAAGAGGUUUGCAAUUCCUUCAAUAAACCUAAAACUUACCUAAACUAACAAUAAAAUCACAAAAUAAAGGGAAAAUAAUAAAAGUAAUAAGAAAACUAGGAAAAACAUCUUAAGUAAAGAUAAAAAAAUAAUUUUUUUUAAAUUUAAAUAGAAAUCAUAAAUCAACUAGAAAAUAUAAAAAAUCCUAAAUAGUAAUUUUUGGCCCCUUUUGAACUAUGAUUGGUAUGAACUUUUCACCCUAAAAUCUUUUACCAAAGGUAUAGCAUGAUUUUUUUAAUUAUAUAUAUAUAUAUAUAACUCAAGGAAAGCCCAAAAGUCUUCAUAUCCAAAAUUUGAGCAUGUCUGUACCAUAGCCCAAGAAAAUGGAAAACUCUCUUUCCAGUCUUUAAAGCAUUUUAUAUACAAACAAAUUGAAAAAUGCAUUGAAAAGACCAAUUAUCCGAUCCCACAAUUUCAAUGUCAAUUUUCUCACUUUUACCCGUUUUUCCAUUUUCGCUUACAACAUGUUUGAAAUCAAAUAUCAUAAUGUUCUAAAAAUAUAUAUCAAACAUCAACUCCUAAACCUGGAAGAAUUACUAUAGAUAUGUGUUGAAUUAUUAUGGAUUAUAGUAAUGAAUUUAUUAUUUUGCCCUUCUCAAUCUAAAAACUUUACCUAUCUCUUAGGGGUAAUGCAGUCUUUUACGAAUGAUUCCACAAUAACUACCUCCGUCACGCAACUUCUCUGGAGACUUGUCUGAAGGCCAUAUCGAUUCUCCACAAAGCAAAAUUUAACACUUUUCCAAACGCCAAGAUCCCGUUUACCCCAUCAUGGAAGCUGAAAAACUGUUCCUGCUUUUUUCUCUUUUAAUGCUCCAUUUCUCAUCUUGUACAUCCCUAGACUCCUUAAAGACGAACCAAACCAUUAAAGAAGGUGACCUUCUUAUCUCCAAAGGAAAUAAUUUCGCACUGGGAUUUUUCAGUCCAGGUAGUUCUAGCAAUAGAUAUCUUGGAAUUUGGUACCAUAAAGUACCAGAACAAACUGUGGUGUGGGUUGCAAACAGGAACGAUCCAAUCAUUGGUUCCUCUGGAUUUCUCUUUAUAAACCAAUAUGGAACUUAACCUCGUUCUCUAUCGUAACGUUGACCAAAAGCUUCUAGUGUGGUCUGCCAAUGUUUCAGUGGAAGAAAAUGAUACUUGUGAAGCUCAACUCUUGGAUUCUGGGAAUUUUAUAUUGAUCAGGAAAAGAAGCAGAAAGAUUGUAUGGCAAAGCUUCGAUUAUCCUACGAACAUCCUGCUUCCUGGAAUGAAACUGGGGCUGGAUCGAAAAUUAGGAAUUGAUCGGUUCCUAACACCAUGGAGAUCAGCUGAUGACCCUGUGUUCGGGGACUUUUCACUUAGGAUCAACCCAAAUGGCUCGCCACAAUCCUUUUUCUAUAAUGGUAAAAGGCCAAUAUUUAGUAGAUCUACCCCUUGGCCAUGGAGAAAUCAGAUGAGCUUAUACACAAGCACUUUUGUAAAUGAUCCAGACGAAAAGUACUGUUUCUACACAGUUCCUGAUGAUUCUUAUUUGCUAAGAUUAAUAGUGGAUCAUUCAGGAGUAACAAAGGCUUUAACAUGGCGAGAAAGUGAUGGUUGGUGGAAGGAAUACUGGAAGUACCCUCAGUUUGAGUGCCACUAUUAUGGAAAUUGUGGUGCUUAUAGUACGUGUGAACUCGCCAAUGUAAAUGAAUUUGGAUGUGCCUGUAUACCUGGGUUCGAGCCCAAGUACCCAUUGGAAUGGUCUACGAGAGAUGGGUCCGGUGGUUGUGUAAGGAAGCGGCUACAUACGUCUUCGGUGUGCAAUCAUGGAGAAGGGUUUGUGAAGGUGGAAAAUGUAAUUCUUCCGGACACUUCAGCUGCAGCUUGGGUGGACAUGAGCAAGAGUCGCGCAGACUGUGAACUGGAAUGCAAGAGGAAUUGUUCAUGCUCUGCAUACGCAGUCAUUGUGAUUCCCGGAAAAGGGGAUGGUUGUUUGAAUUGGUACAAGGAAUUAGUAGACAUUAGAUAUGAUAGGAGUGAAAGUCGUGAUCUGUAUGUUCGUGUUGAUGCAUAUGAAUUACGUACCCUUUUUCUGCUCAUUAACUACUUCAUAGGAUUGUCACUACAAAUAUUGAUUUAUAUGAGCGUUCCUAUGCUUGUCACUACUCUUGGCCAUAUGUAUUGUCGCACGUGUGCGAUAUCGCGGCGAAAAUAUUUACCAUAUGUGGCAAAAUAUGGGGACAAGCUAGGGAAUUCUUGUCUUUUAUUAGUAGAAAAAUAGAAUGAGAGUCGCCACCUAGUAUUUUGAUCACUAGGAACCGUAACUGGUCUCAGAGAUCGGGUAUGGGGACAAGUUGCGUAAAGGAAAGGUAUUAGCACCCCAAAUACGCCCUACCUAUGGUAAGCUGCAUUGUUUUAUUAUUUGAUAAAUCUAAAGUCUUGUCGUGUUUUCUAAUUAUUAGUCUGUCUGUGAUUUAAGAAAAAAUUCUCCUCGGUAAGGAGAUUUUUAUCUUAUCGAAAAAAAACCUAACUGUUCUAACUUCAACAAAAGAAUUUAAUAUCCGGAGUAGGUCUUACGUAUAAGAUUAUAACACUAGAUAUUAAAAGAAAGCAAAAUAAUUUUUUUUUAAUUUUUUAAAUAUUGGCCUAGUUCUCGUAACUUUAAUAAACUGGUUAUUAAAGCUCAACAUGCAUGCUAAAACCUUUUUUUUUUCCUUAAAGAUACAAUAUGAUUUUUUUUAUUUUUUUAGAGAGACUUGGCCGUAUGCAUAAUUUUUUUUUUUUCAAUGUCUUGACGAAAACCGUGUAUUUUAAUAUUGUAUUUUUUAUCUUUACAGUAUAAAAAUACAAACCAAUAUUAAUUAAAAUGCAGUAAAAAAAAUUGCGGAAAAUCACAGAAAUUUUUAAAUAAGUUUUUGAAUUUCUUUUGGGUUGGGCCCAUCCCGGCCCAUGUGGCGGGGCUGGACCCAGCCAAUGACCCCGCCGGCUUUAGGAUGCAAGUGCUUACUGUUCAAGUGAAUUAUAAUUCACUUGAACAGUAAAAAUGUAAAAGGAAAUCGCAUGCACAGAGAUGAAAAACGCAUACCUGGAAGUGGAAACGAAAGGGGCGAAGGCGUGCUGGCUGGUCUCUUCUGUGCUUUCGUCUGUUUCAGUUCUUCUCCUCUGUUCCUUGUUUUCUUUUCUCUGUUUCUCUUGUUUUUUUUUCCUGAUGUUUUGCCCCUGUUCUUCUCUUCUUCAGUUCGUAUUUCGCUGCUCUCAGAGUUUAAUUCCUCCUGGUCCUAUUUUCUCCCGUGUCUGUCUCCUGCUCGUCGUCUCUUCCUCUGUCUUUUUCCUUUCCUCUGUCAUUCCCCUCUGGUUUUUUCUUUCUGGUGCAGUUGAUGCUCGUGCAUUGGCUGGCACAGUGGCACUGCUGCUCUUCGUUUCCUUUUUUAUUUUCCCAUGUUCCCCCUGUGUUUUUUUUCUUGUUUUUCUUUCUGCCCUCUUUCCCCCUGUUCCCUGGUGCAGCUGGAGGCGAAGCUGUUGCUUGGGGACGAAGACGAUGGUGAAGCUGAUAGGUCGAAGCUGCUCUCUUCUUCAGCUCUUCCUCUGUUCUUCCUUCUCUCUGUAUUUUUCUUUCUAUGUAUUUGUAAAUCUUUUUCCCUCCCUCUGUUUUCCUUCUCCUCUCUCUCUCCUCUCGGGUUCUCCCUUUUAUAGCCAAAACUGCAUGCAUUUUUUUUUAUAAUGAAAACGUUCAGGGCCAUUAUUGCAGUGGUAACGGUAGAGAAAGCUGUGAAACGUUCCCAUAAUUUGUGGCAUUUGUUUGCUGAAAACGAUUCCUGUUUGCUGAAACGGCUGCUUUGAAGAUGGUGAUGAAUAGUGUCUAUGGAAACGGCGCCGUUUCACAAUUCAAAUGAAUAUUUUCGAUUCGGUCCCUGGUUGUUUUGACAAUUUUGUAAUCAAGCCCCCCGGAUGAAUUGUAAUUGGAUCCCUUGAGUUUAUCGUCUUUUCCGGUUGGUCCUUGGUUUCUGAUUGUUUCAAUUAAAUCCCUAAUUGACCUCCAAACUUCAAUAAUUAUGCAAUUAAGCCCCUGAUUUAAACAAAUCAACUCUUAAAAAUAAUAAUUGGACCCCAGAACUUUAAUUGCUUCCAAUAAAAGUCUAAAUUGACUUAAAAAAUCAAUUUUCUUGCAAUUAAACUCUCCAUAGAUUCAAUUAAACCUUGAAUAAAAUUUAAUUGAGUCCAUAAACAUCUUAUUUUGGACUUUUCUUUCUCAACUUGAAUUUUCUUUGUCAAUAGGGCUCUUAUCAGUAGAAAAUAUAACAUCAAAUUUCAUUUCUUGUAUUUCUGAACCUUCUCAACCAAUUCCUAGCCAUUUUAUGAGCAUUCCAGCGUCCUUUUCUCACUCCUGUUAUUAUUAUUAUUAUUAUUUUAUUCCUUUCGAAUUUUUUUUUUAUUUUCUCAUUUUUUUGUAUGGAACUCAAAAAUGGGUAUCAACCUGUAUUGUCAUAUUUCCGUGGGCAAAUGGGGUGGGUUUUCCUAUAAUUGGUAGUUAAUCUUUUUUCUUUUCACUCUCAUGCAGCUGACACUACAAGGAAGUCAAAUAAUUCUCGUGAAAAACCGAUGCUGGCCGUUUUAUCACCAUCAAUUGCAUUAUUGUGGUUUCUCAUUGGCCUGUUUGUUUAUUUGUGGCUCCAGAAGAGAGCAAAAAAAGGUAAACAGCACUUCUACUGAAUUGGAAUAUUUCAAGCUCAGCACCAUAACGGCGGCCACUAACAAUUUCUCUCCAGCUAACAAACUCGGGCAAGGUGGUUUUGGCUCUGUUUGUAAGGUUGAGUUUCUUGCAUUUAGCUAAAAACUAAUUUGCAUAAUUGUAGUCCAGAGGCUUAAUCUUGUAAGAUGAUUUUAGGGUCUGCUGGCUAAUGGAAAGGAGGUUGCAAUAAAAAGGUUAUCUAGAAGUUGAGGACAAGGAACAGAAGAAUUUAAAAAUGAAGUUAUGGUAAUUGCAAAGCUUCAACACAGGAAUCUAGUGAAACUUCUAGGGUACUGCAAUCAGGAUGGAGAACAAAUCUUAAUCUAUGAAUACUUGCCAAACAAAAGCUUGGACUCGUUUCUUUUCCGUAAGUCUCUUUAUGUUUUUAUUGCCCUGAUUUACAUUAGUUGUCUGAAAAAUAAUUGUUUCAACAGAUGAAAGCAGAAGAUUGUUAUUGGAUUGGGGAAAACGCUUUGAUAUUAUUGUUGGAAUAGCUCGUGGGAUCUUAUAUCUUCAGCAAGACUCCAGGUUGAGAAUCAUUCACAGGGAUUUAAAAUGCAGCAACAUUCUAUUGGAUGCAGAGAUGAACCCAAAAAUAUCGGAUUUUGGAAUGGCAAAAAUAUUUGAAGGCAACCAAACUGAAGAUAGGACAAGGAGAGUUGUAGGAACAUAGUAAGUACCUUUGCCUAAAACAAAGACCGAGUGACAAAGUACUAUCAUUGAUUACCAGGAAAAUUAAAACUACUCUUGUUUUUCUGAUGCAGUGGCUAUAUGUCACCAGAAUAUGUUGUGUUUGGAAACUUUUCCGCAAAAUCAGAUGUUUUCAUUUUCGGGGUCAUGUUGCUAGAGAUUGUGAGUGGCAAGAAGAACAAUAGAUUUUAUCAACAGGAUCCUCCUUUGACCUUGAUUGGAUAUGUGAGUUAUAAGAUAGCCCAUUGUGCUCUUGGCUGAAUUUCAAUGUUCACAAUUUAGAUGUUGUCUGCUCUUAUUUCUUGUAUGUUAAUAGAUUGGUUGCACCAAGAUUGUCACAUAAGAGUAGUGGAGGCUGAGGAAGAGAAAACUUUAUUCAGUAAAGAGUGAUAGAAUCCACAUAGACUUAGAAGCAGCGGUGACAAGCGCACGAUAUUCAACCUCCGUAGAUGAUCAUGUAAUUGCACGCUGUUUUCUGGAACUCCAAGAGAGGAGAUUUGAAUCGAGCAUAAUGAGAUAAGCUGAAGUAGAACUGCGAUUAUCCAAAUUGCCAGCCUAAUCCGCUUCUAAGUAACAUGUAAGCGGAGGAUUAACAUUUUUCUGAAUUUUCAAAUAACGCAACAACCACUUGGUGGCAGUCUAGUGAAUUGUAGAAGGGCAGUCCAUGAACUGUGACAAUUUGUUGACUGCAAAGCUGAUGUUGGGUCGAGUGAGUGAAAGAUAUUGCAAUGCUCCAAUUACCUUGCGACAUUCAGUAAGAUUGAUAGCAUCUGCGCUAUCAUUUAAUUUCAGAGAGAUCGAAGUUGAUAGUGGAGUGGUGACAUCUUUUGCUCCAUCCAUGCAAGUUCUGGCAAGAAGAUCCCUGAUGUAUUUAUGCUGAGUGAGGAACAACUCAUUCUGCGUGGGAAUAACUUCAAUGCCAAAGAAGAAAUGCAAGGGUCCUAAGUCUUUAAGAGAGAACUUCUUGCCAAGUUGUUGUAUAACACUUGCAGCAAAAUGAGAGUUGUUGCUGGUGAUAAUUAAAUCGUCAACAUACACCAGAAAGUAAGUAGUAGUGGACGCAAUAUUAUAGACAAAUAUUGAAGAAUCAGACUUGGUAUUGACAAAACCAAAUUCUAGAAUAGCUUGUUUAAGUGCAGUAUACCAAGCAUGUGGUGCUUGUUUAAGGCCAUAGAUUGCCUUCUUAAGACAAAAAACAGAAUCUGGUGAAGAUUGGUCCUGAAAUUCAGGAGGUUGCGACAUGUAUACUUCUUUUGUGAGAGUGCCAUGGAGAAAUGCACUGUUUAUGUCUAACUGAUGGAGAGGCCAUCCAUGCAUCACAACAACUGAUAAAAUAGUGCGAAUAGUCAUUGGUUUUACUACAGGACUAAAAGUCUGAGUAUAAUCCAAACCGGGUUUUUGAUUGAAACCUUUGGCCACUAGUCUGGCUUCAAAUCUGUCAAUUGAGCCGUCAGCAAGCCUUUUAACCUGAAACACCCACUUGCAUCCAAUAAUGUUGCAACCCAUGGGAGGUGGUACCAGAUGCCAUGUAUCAUGGCGCAUAAGAGCUGUAAGCUCUAAGGACAUUGCAACACGCCAUUGAGGGUCAGUUAAGGCAUGAGUCAUUGAUAUAGGUUCCAUAGAUGGAGGUAAUGGAUGUUUGGUAACCAUAAACAAGCUUUUAGGCUUAUAGAUGUUGUUCAUAGAUCGAGUAACCAUACGAUGGGGACGAGGUUCAGUAGUAGGAAGUACCAUAGGAGCAUGACUAACAAUUAAAUUUUCAGAGGAAGUUUCAGUUUGAGCAGGAGAACAUACCUGUGAGGGAACUGAUGUUGGAGGUGAAGCUACCAAAGGUGAUGAAGGAGCAGCGGUACCCAGUGCAGAAGUAAUUGAUUCUGCUGGUCGUGUAGGAUAUAACAAUGGCAGACUUAUGGAAAUCGGGUGAGAAGAACCGAGAGCACUGGUUGCAGGUUGGGAUUUUACAGAAGAACAAGUAUUAGUUAGAGCCAUGGGAAAGACAGUCUCAUCAAAGAGCACAUGUCUGGAGUGAUAUACUUUUAUGCUGAGAAGAUUUAGACACAAAUAAGCAUUUUGGGUUAAAGAGUAACCCACGAAAACACAUAACACGACUUUGGUUUGAAGUUUAUGUGUAUUGUAGGGUCUGGUCAAGGGAUAGUAGAGACACCCAAACUGCUUUAGUUUCAUGUAGUUAGGAUUUUGAUGGAAAAGCAAUUCGAAGGGUGUUUUGUUAUUCAUAGUUGAGGUUGGCAUACGAUUGAUCAAGUAUGUUGCAACUUGAAAUGCAUAAGGCCAGUAGGAAGGAGGCAUUGGGCAUUGGUGAGAAGAGUGAGACCUGUUUCAACAAGGUGUCGAUGUCGUCUUUCAGAUAUUCCAUUUUGUUGUGGAGUGUGGGGAGCAAUGGUAUAAUGACCAAUGCCAUGAACAUAUAAAUAAUUUUUUAAGAGCAAUGUAUUCACCUCCAUUGUCAAAAUAUAGACUUUGAUUUUGGUGUUGAACCUGUUUUCCACAAGAUUUUGAAAUUGAGGAAAGAUAGUGUGAACACAUGAUUUAUAGGACAUAGGAUAAAGCCAUAUAUAUUUAGUAUAGUGAUCAACAAAAAUAAUGUAGUAUUUGAACAAUCAAUACCAGUGUCAUAAGCCGGACCCCAAACAUCAGUAUAAAUAUUCGAGGGGUGCUGUACUAACAAAACCAUGAGAUUGAAAUGUUUUUCGGUGGGCUUUAUUGUGAGAACAUGAGACAUAAAGAGAUGAAUUUUCUUUUGUUUUUCUGACAGGUAAAAAAAGUGCGGAUAAGAUGUUGAGCAAUUUUGGAAGAUGGAUGACCAAGUUGUUUGUGCCAUCCAUCUGUUGUUGUGUUCAUGAACAUAAGCAAUAACAGGUUUGGAAGCCAUAGUCAUUGUUUCCGGUAAAGGGUACACACCAUCCUCACAUGCACCUUUUAGUAGUGUCGUCCCCGUGAUCUGAUCUUUCACAAGAAAAUAAGAGAGAUGAAACUCAAGAUAGACAUUAUUUUGUUUAGUAAAGUGAUGAACAUAAAUUUUUUUUUUUUAACUUCAAGAACACAUAGAGUGUCUUUCAAUAAGUGAAGGGAGUGAAAGCUAGCAUUAUUACAAAUAUUUAGCGGCAACUUGCAGAGCCUGUUACUUCAAGAAUCUAAAGUACAAAGUCAUAAAAGCAAAUGCACAUCUUUAGAAAAAUGUUCAAAAACAUUGCGUACUCAGGUGACAUAUAGCCACUGCAUAAGAAAAAUGUUGUCACGACCCGAUUCCCGGAUCCAUGACCAGCACAUAGGCAAGAUUCCCCUUCAAAGUUCCAUAUCUAUACAAACCCAAAUUUACAUACAAUCUUAUCAUUUAAACAACUCAAUAAGAGUUCAACACAACAUUAACAACUAACUAACUUUUUAUAAUACAAUUUGAUUGUCUUAGUACAAGAGUUAAUAUAAUUUUAUAGUUCUAGAGCACUCACUAGACAUAAAGGAAAAGGUACAAAUUUCAAUCAAAAGAGCAGGUUCGGAAGGUCCAACAAAAGUGAGCUGCUAUCAAGCUAUAGGCCUGAAAAGGAUAAAUAAUGAGAGGGUGAGUUCAACAACUCAGUGAGUAGAUAACGUUCAAUAUACACACACAAGGUAAUACAACAAUGAGAAAUGUAUAUACAAGCAUUGUUCUAGUUCUUAUAAGAAGGUUUAUCAAAAGGCCAUAACAAGAAUAUUAUAAGGUAAAGCUCGUCAAAAAUCAAAAUGCAAUGAGAAUGAGGCUCCGUACUAUGGGAUGAUCAGUCCACACAGGUUGGUGACUCCCCCGACCAACUAGGGUUCAAAUACGAUGUGCACAAAGACUAACGCUACCCUGUUAGCAUGAGUAUUCUGACUGACAUACCAUAGGUUCUAAUCAUAACCAAACAACAUUUCAUAUCUCAAAGCUCAACUCUGACAUCAAUCAAAUGAGGAGCUAUCAAUUCAGAAGUCAAUUCAAAUAUAUAUACUGGUUCAUAUCAAGAAUUCAGACUCAACAAUUGAUCAUGCUUUAUCAUAACAAGGAUAAUAAUCAACAUAUAUAUUAUCAAGAAGCAUGAUCCAAUUCAUAUUAACAAAUCAAAUACUUAUAAUAUUUCUCAUACAUAUGAAAAAUUAUUCACUCACUGACUCGAAAACAAACAAAACUCAAAGCUGAUACCAAAGGAAAUCCUACUGACAUCACGCCAGUAGAAUAUCAGGAUUAUCUGAAUACAACAGAGACAUAUUAAAAAUAACUCAAAAAACAUACAACCUAUUUAAUACAUUUAUCUAAGGGUAUAUUCUAUAACCCUAUAUGUUUUUAUACUAAACUAGAUAUUUUUCUAAAAAUCCAAAAAUUAACAGUUUUCUCGAAAUCUAAUCCAUAAUAAAACAAAUAAUAAGACUUGAUAAUAAUUCACUAAAUAACCCUCAUUUAUUCAUCAAACCAAUAUGAAAAGGCUAAUAUUACAGCUAGGGACCAAUCUGGAAUUUAUCAUUUUUUAGGGCUAAAUUGUAAUUUUCAUCUAAUUGGAGGACCAAAAUAAAAAUAUCAUAAAUAUCAUAUAGUGUAAUUAUGUCCAUAAUUCAUCGUCCAGAAUCUCUAAUUAUGCUUCAGGGACCCUUCUGGAUUUUUUCCAAAAUUUUAGGGUCAAAUUGUAAUUUGUUUUCAAAUUGGAGGACCAAAUUGAAAGUGUUUAAAAUUCAUAAAUCUACUGGAAUUCUUCCCAUAAUUCAUAUCUUAUUCUGUUCAAAAUAUCAGAAUAUGCUCCAGUGACCAAUUUGUAAUUUUCCAAGUUUGGGGACUAAACUGUAAUUUGUACAAAUUGAGGGACCAAACCGAAAUUUUGUCAUCUUCAACCUCAAACCCAGAAUUUCAACAGAAAACCUACUAUUUUUCCAGAUUUCUAACUCAAAAUUCACCAUCUACACAAAUCAUAACUUAAAAUCAUAAUCUUUACCUAUAAUCUUCCAUAAUCAACUAAAUAAUCAAUUACCCACAAUAAUCAACCUUGUGACAUUCAAAUUAAUUCAUCAAUUAACCCAAAACACAAUCUUCAAAACCCUAAUAUUUAUUAAAAUAGAAAUUAAAAGCUCAAUUAACACACUUAUACAUUUAGCAACCUAAAUCUUACCUUUAAACUUAUUACCUCCCAAUCUCUUCCUUUUCUCUUCUUCUUCUUCCUCCUCCCUUCUCUCUCACGGUUUGCUCCUUCAAUUUUCAGAUCCUUUUUUUUUUUCUAUUUAUAUUUAUCAAUUAUUGUUCAAUUACCACAAUACCCCUCAUUUAAUUAUACUUCUAAGCCUCUAAGGGCUUGGUUGCCUUUUCCUACUAAUCUAUUUUCAAAACAUCACAAAUGUGAAAGAUUGCCAGUUAAUGUUAUCAUUCUUGAUGAAAAUCGAUGCAUGGUAUUCUAUUAAUCUAUAUCUCUGGGUGAGUAAAUGUACUUACUAUGUUCCCACAACUCUUUUUGUGUUGUCCAGAAUUUGGUCGCUUUUGAAUAUUCUAGCAAUUCCAAAAUCUAAGAUUUUUGGAUUCAUCUCUACAUCCAAUAGAAUGUUGCUGCAUUUCAAGUCCCUGUGAAUGAUUCUCAACCUUGAAUGACUUCGUUUGUAAAUUCUUGUAUCCCUUGUCUUGAAUUGUUUGAUAGUCUCUUGACAGCAAUCUUCUCACCAUCAGGUAGCACACCCUAAAAUCAUAUUACAGGAGUAAACAUUUACAACCCAGAACAAUCAGUUCAAGGACUUGAAGCCUUGAAGUGCAUACAAAUCAAAAUGUAUCAUCCGCGUGAAGCCUUGAAGUGCAUACAAAUCGGUCUACUGUGCGUGCAAGAAGAUGCCGCGGACAGACCAUCUAUGUUGGCAGUUGUUUUUAUGUUGAGUAACGAAACAGAGAUUCCUUCUCCAAAACAGCCUGCAUUCCUUUUUAGAAAAUCUUAUAAAUUUCCUGAUAUAGCAUUAGACGUAGAAGAUGGACAGUGUUCUGUAAAUGAGGUGACAAUUACUGAAAUUGCUAGUCGCUGAAGUUGUACGAUUUGAAUAAUUGCUAAUGUUCUCUUUAUAUUCUUGAUCUUUUUAAUUCGUUACAAGCAUCUCUAAUUUUACUAUAACAGUAAUCUUUUCAGGAAGUUCAUACAUGCAAAUGUUCUCUUCCAAAUUUCAAUGCAGGCUAUGUUAAAGCUGCAGAGAUUGAAACAAUUAAACUUGCUGUUGAAGGAUAGAUGAUUUUAACAUAGAAGAGCUGUAGCAGAGAGCUUAUAAUUUCAUAAAUAAGAAUGUCUAUUUAAAGGCUUACAACCAAACUGAAAAGGUUAAAAAUUCUCAACAACAAUCAGAUAUUAUUGGCAUUACUUCUACUAACUGAAAACAGAACAUAAAGGAGCAAAAUCUGAUAUAAAACAAUAAUCAAAGACUAAGUCCAACUAAACUUGUUUCAUACAUCAGAGGCAGAUUCUCAGAAUUCUAACAAAGCAUACCAAGAUACUGAAAAACAAAAGUAAUGAAAGAUUAGAGCUGUCUGAAUUUCAAGAACAGUUUCAACCUCCCUAAAUAGUCAUGUUUUCGCUUUGCCUUCCCCUCUCUCCUAGGGACAUGAGUUUUAGGUGGUUUUGGAACAUCCUUAAUUUACUACUGAAGAAACCAAGUAACUUGAUCGUUCUUGCUUGGAAUUGCUAAGAGGAAAGGUGUGUAUGGAAGUUCACUGAAACAUACUAGAAUAGAAUGUAAAGAUUGAAACAGAAUUUUGAACUUUGAACUUUGGAUCUUGAUGUUGUCAGCAUGCAGGGCAACAGGUGGAAUUGAGUCGGGUUGUUCCUUGUCAUCUUCUUCUUCCUCAAAUAUUGUAUGAGGUUGUUUUGGAGAAGGAAUAGCUACUCCAGAACUGGUCAGCACGAGAACAACAGCUAACAUGGAAGGUCUUUCCAUUGCGUCUUCUUGCACGCACGAAACCGUAUCUGGCGAACUACCCCAUGGCCAUGGAGGACCCAGAAGACUAGUUUUCUAAAUGAUCAAGAUGAGAUAUGUAUGGCAUCUGUUGUCCCUCUUCCUGAUGCACUGUUAUACAAAGACAAAACAUUAGAGAUGAGUUGAUUUGUCACUCAAGGAGUUGUAUUAUCCUCAAGAAGCCUUGAAAUGCAUUCGAAUUGGGUUGUUAUUUGUGCACGAACAUGCUAUGGACAAGUCAUCUGUUUGAUAUAGGUUCUUUUAUAUUGCCUCAAUUAAGUAACAAUUUCAGAUUGGAAUUUUAAAUUAACUGUUUUGAAUUCUAAAUUUAGUCUUAAAUCUACUCACAUAAUUUUAAAUUUGAUCUACAAAGUUGAACAUGCAAUGGAUUAGAGUAUAAAUAUGAUUAAAUCCAUUUCUAUAUACACAACAGUUUUAUUUUAGCCCAAAUUCAAGUUCAAGUAAACCCAAACCCAACUUAAGUUAACCUAGCAAUAUAAGAGAAAAAUUAUAAGAGAAUUACUUUUUUCCUUUCUUUUAAUUCUUGUGAUUGUCGUGACUCUUCCAUCAUCAAACCAAAAAUUUUAGUUUUUGAUCUUGAGUUUUUAGUUCAAGAAAAAUAAAAAUAGCAAGUAAAUGGUUCUCUUUCAUAUUACUUUUGAUUAUAGUUUUUUUUAUAGAAUGAUUAAGGAAAAUAUUAGGGUUUAUAAGGAUUUGAAGUUUAUAAUGUUAAGAUUGAUUUAUGAUUAUUAAGGGUUUAAUGUAAGGUGAUUGAUUAGUAUGUUGUUGGAAGUAAGGAUUUCUGAGUUGAUUUGUUUAAAUUGAUUUUUAUGGGUUAAGAAACACAUUUCAACUUUGCUGGAAAAUCUGAACAGAAUGGUUUUGAGGUUGAAGAUGAUGAAAUUUUAUUUUGGUCAUUAAUUUAUGAAAAUUACAGUUUAAUCCCUAAAUUUUGAAAAAAUUAUAAUUUGAUCCCUAAAUGUAUUUUGCGAUUCUGGACACUGUUAUUAUGAGUUUAAGGAUGAUGAAUCUCAGUUUGAUAAUUGAUUUGGAAUAUUUUUAGUUUGGUCCCUCAAUUUUGGGAAUUUACAUUUUAGUCCUUGAACUUUAUGAAAAUUGCAGGUCGGUCCAUGGUUCGUUCUAUACAGAAUUGAGGAUGGUUUAUGGGUGAAAUUUUGGUAUGGUUAUGUAUUUACAGUUUGGUCCUCCAAUUUUGGUAAAAUUACAUUUUGGUCCCUGUUUUGAAAAAUUGUUGUUUUAGUCCCUAAACUUAGGAGAAUAAACCUGGUUUUAUUUUAUGCAUUGGUAUCUUUUAUUUGUGUUGUUUUGGGUUAAUUUUUAGUAUAUUUUGUAUAUUGUUGCAGGUUCUCGUAAUGAUUCUCAAUAGGAUUUUUGGAUUUUUCAUCUGACAUUCCUUUUACUUCUAUAUUUUUCGGAUGAGUGGAAUAAUCUUUAAUAUGUAUAUAAUAUAAUGUAAAUAAAUAUGUAUGUUAAUUAUAUGAUGAGUACGACUAGUUAAUUUAUUGAAUAUUUAUAUAUGUUGCUUUAUUUUUCAAGUACUCAUUUAUUUUUAAAUUAUCACCUACAAGCUAUUGCCUAUUGGUUUCAAGUUUGAAAGGUCUUGAGAACUUGAUAAAAUUGCAAUGCAAUGAUUUGAGUUUUUUGUUGAAAUGUUGAUGAUGAUCUUCCCUACAAUCUUCAUUGUAUAGUGACAUUAAUUGUCGAUUAUCUCCCACCUUUUAAAGUUAUCCACUAAUUAUUUGUGAAUUGAUGAUAAUCUUCCAUCUAUUAGAGUUCUUUCCAUGACCUCACAUCCAUAAAUACAUGGCUUGUUAUACUUGCUUGUAGAGUUAAUCCUUUGUGAAUAUUCCUUCUUUUAUACGUGGCAAUAACCCUUAUCUUCUAAGUUUCUUUUAAUUAAUCCAAUUAUUAGAUAGUUAUUAUAUUUCUCUUUAUCUAUUUCCCAUAAAAAUCUAUAGUAUAACACAAUCCAUGGUGGUAAUUGUUUACAUGUUGAAUCAUAGUGAAAUAAAUAUUCCUUUUGAAAAACAACCUAUAUUCAUUCUUAAGAAACCUUGUUGUGAUUGUCACAUUCUGUUGGAUGUAAAAGAAGUAGACAAAACUAUAUUCAUAAUAUUUGUCUUUGCUUAACUUCUUUGCAUAUCAUGAUUUUUGUGAUUAUGACAUGGUAAGAACUAACAUAAGCUAGUUCUAACAAGUUUAUAGUGGUAAUUUUUUGCAUAAAAAAGAAUGGCAUGGCUAUCUACUUUUCUCUUUUUGAAAAAUCAACGUCAUCAACCAGUCUAGUGCAUAGCUUAUAUCUAGUCCUACAAGUAACGUAUCUUAAUGAGUUUUUUUUUUUUUUUCUGAAAUUGAUAAAUAUAAAAGCAAGAUAAAAACGAAAAAAAAAAAGAGAGAAUCUGAAAUUGAGAGAGAGAGAGAGAACCAAAAGUAGAAGAGGAAGAGGAAAAGGAAGAAGAAGAAGAAGAAGAAGAGAAAAGAGGGAAAUAUACAUAGAUUUGGAGAAAUAAGUGUUUAAGGUAAGAGUUAUGCUUUAAUGUGUAUAAUUAUAGUAUUUAGCUCUAAUUUUGGUUUUGUUAAGGUUUGGAGUUUUAAAAUUUGUGUUUUAGCAUUAGAUUGAUGGAUUAAUUAAAGUGUUAUAGGUAAAUUGUUAUGGGUUUAUUGAAUUAUUAUGGUUUUUGAGGUUUUGGGUUAAAAUUUGUUAGACCAAACACAUGAAAAAUCAAAUCCUUCCAUAUUUUUUUGCGUAGCACUGACAACUCUAGUUAUUUCUUAGGAACCAAAAUCAAGUUCUAAAAAACUCAAAAACAAAUAAUAACAAAGAAAACUUAUAUAUAUAUAUAUAGCAACUGGAGCAAUAAUGUAAUCAUUUGUGUCCUUAUUGAUAAGACAUAAAUUAAGUGUAAAUAGAACAUAGAAAUUGCCCAACAAAAUUAAAUUAUUUAUUUAUGUUAAAUUAAUCCUUUUGAUUACAAGUUUACUAAUACCAUAAAGAUAGAAUUAUUCAAAAGUUAUAUAGAUAUAAUAUAUAUUGAUAAAGAACUAAAACCGAUAUCUAAUAUUGUUAUUACCUCAAGGGAAGAAACAAAAAGAGUUUGAGAGCUUUGAUUAAGCAUUAACGAUAGCAAGACAAGAAUAAUUUAAACUCAAAGACAAUUUAUUUUCAAUACAAAGAGAUUGAUGUAGAAGAUUUUUAUCCAACGUAUAACUUUACAAUAAUAGACAUAAAUUUUGAUUCUAGAAGUCAUGUUUCUUAUAGAGUCAGAUUUAUGAAGUCAUCUAAGAUCGGUAAGGCCUCCAAACUAGUACUAGAAAUUACUAUUUUGGAAAUAUCAUAAUAUUUCCAAGUUGAUUUAAUUUUUUUUCCUAUUUACUUUAGAAAUAUUUUAUUAAUUUUUAAGCUUUGUUUAGGGUGUUUUUCCUAGAAUAUAAUAGUUUACAAGAGUUUUAAUAUUUAAAUUUAAUUAUAAAUAUAUUGAGUAAUAAAAGUUUGAAUCAUAAUUAUUAUGGUUGAUGUCUUUUUCGACUCAAUUCUAUCUUUCUUUGUGUUUAUUGUUUUUUUUAUGUUGUUUUUGUACGCAUCUGCAACCUACUACAUAUUUCUAAAACUAGAGGACGGUGUCGUUUCCAAAAAUCUGGAUUGAUACUUCAACUAAAACAAGUCAUUGCCUAGACUUUGAAGGUUGAAAAGAGUAACUUAUUAAUUCCGUCACGCAACUUCUCUGGAGACUUGUCUGAGGCCAUAUCCAUUCUCCACAAAGCAAAAUUUAACACUUUUCCAAAAGCCACAGUUUACCCACUCAUGGAAGCUGAAAAUCUGUUCCUGUUUUUUUCUAUUUUAAUGCUCCAAUUCUCAUCUUGUACAUCCCAAGACUCCUUAAAGAUCAAUCAAACCAUUAAAGAAGGCGACCUUCUUAUCUCCAAAGGAAAUAGUUUCGCUCUAGGAUUUUUCAGUCCGGGUAGUUCUAGUAAUAGAUAUCUUGGAAUUUGGUACCAUAAAGUACCAGAACAAACUGUGGUGUGGGUUGCAAACAGGAACGAUCCAAUCAUUGGUUCCUCUGGAUUUCUCUUUAUAAACCAAUAUGGUAACCUCGUUCUCUAUGGUAACGAUGACCAAAAGCUUCCUGUGUGGUCUACAAAUGUUUCAGUGGAAGAAAAUGAUACUUGUGAAGCUCAACUCUUGGAUUCAGGAAAUUUGAUAUUGGUCAGGAAAAGAAGCAGAAAAACUGUAUGGCAAAGCUUCGAUUAUCCUACGAACAUCAUGCUUCCUGGAAUGAAACUGGGGCUGGAUCGAAAAUUAGGAAUUGAUCGGUUCCUAACAUCAUGGAGAUCAGCUGAAGACCCUAGGUUCGGGGACUUUUCACUUAGGAUCAACCCAAAUGGCUCCCCGCAAAUCUUUCUCUAUAAAGGUAAUUAUAAGCCAAUUAGUAGAACUGCCCCUUGGCCAUGGAGAGGUCAAGUGGGCUUAUACAAAAGCACUUUUGUAAAUGAACCAGAUGAAAUAUUCUGGGUCUACACAGUUCCUGAUGAUUCUUAUCUGCUAAGAUUAAUAAUGGAUCAUCCAGGACAUGUAAAGGCUUUAACAUGGCGAGAAAGUGAUGGUCAGUGGAAGGAAUACUGGCAGUCCCCUCAGUUUCGUUGCGACUAUUAUGGACAUUGUGGUGCUUAUAGUACGUGUGAACUUGCCAAUCGUAAUGAAUUUGGAUGUGCCUGUUUACCUGGGUUCGAGCCCAAGCACCCAUUGGAAUGGUCUACGAGAGAUGGUUCCGGUGGUUGUGUCAGGAAGCGGCUACAUACGUCUUCGGUGUGCCAGCAUGGAGAAGGGUUUUUGAAGGUGGAAAAUAUAGUUCUUCCGGAAAGUUCAGCUGCAGUUUGGAUGGAUAUGAGCAAGAGUCUUGCAGACUGCGAAGUGCAAUGCAAGAGCAAUUGCUCUUGCUCUGCAUACGCAAUCAUUGCAAUUUCCGGAAAAAUAUAUGGUUGUUUGACAUGGUACAAGGAAUUAGUAGACAUUAGAUAUGAUAGGAGUUACGGUUAUGAUCUGUAUGUUCGUGUUGAUGCUUAUGAAUUAGGUACCCUUUUUCUGCUCAGUAACUACUUCAUAGGAUUGUCAUUACAAAUAUUGAUUUAUAAGCGCUUUCCUAUGCUCUUGACUGUAGUUAAUAAGCUCUUGACUGCAGGAAAGAAACCAUAUGUGUUGUCAUAUUUCCAUUGGAAAAUGGGGUGGUUUUUCCUAUAGAGUUAAUCUUUAUUCUUUUCACUCUCAUGCAGCUGAUACUAAAAGGAAGUCAAAUGAUUCCCGUGAAAAAACGAUGCUGGCCAUUUUAGCACCAUCAAUUGCAUUAUUGUGGUUUCUCAUUAGCCUGUUUGCUUAUCUGUGGCUCAAGAAGAGAGCUAAAAAAGGUAAUGAACUGCAGGUAAACAGCACUUCUACUGAAUUAGAAUAUUUCAAGCUCAGCACCAUAACAGCGGCCACUAACAACUUCUCUCCAGCUAACAAACUCGGGCAAGGUGGUUUUGGCUCUGUUUAUAAGGUUGAAUUUCUUGCAUUUAGCUAAGAACUAAUUGGCCUCUCUAAUUUGCAUAAUUUGCUUAAUCUUGUAAGAUGAUUUUAGGGUCUGCUGGCUAAUGGACUGGAGGUUGCAAUAAAAAGGUUAUCUAGAAGUUCAGGACAAGGAACAGAAGAAUUUAAAAAUGAAGUUAUGGUAAUUGCAAAGCUUCAACACAGGAAUCUUGUGAAACUUCUAGGUUACUGCAAUCAGGAUGCAGAACAAAUGUUAAUCUAUGAAUACUUGCCAAACAAAAGCUUGGACUCGUUUCUAUUCCGUAAGUCUCUUUAUGUUUUUAUUGCCCUGAUUUACACUAGUACUUGUCAAAUUAUAUCCGUCUGAAAAAUAAUUGUUUCAACAGAUGAAAGCAGAAGAUUGUUAUUGGAUUGGCGAAAACGCUUUGACAUUAUUGUUGGAAUAGCUCGUGGGAUCUUAUAUCUUCACCAAGACUCCAGGUUGAGAAUCAUUCACAGGGAUUUAAAAUGUAGCAACAUUCUACUGGAUGCAGAGAUGAACCCAAAAAUAUCAGAUUUCGGAAUGGCCAAAAUAUUUGAAGGCAACCAAACAGAAGAUAGGACAAGGAGAGUUGUGGGAACAUUGUAAGUACCUUUGCCUAAAACAAAGACCGAGUGACAAAGUACUACUAUUGAUUACUAGGAAUACUAAAACUUCAGAUUCUUGUUUAUCUGAUGCAGUGGCUAUAUGUCACCAGAAUAUGCUGUGCUUGGAAACUUUUCUGUAAAAUCAGAUGUUUUCAGUUUUGGGGUCAUGUUGCUAGAGAUUGUGAGUGGCAAGAAGAACAAUAGAUUUUAUCAACAGGAUCCUCCGUUGACCUUGAUUGGACAUGUGAGUAAUAAGUUAGCCCUUUGUGCUCUUGGCUGAAUUUCAAUGUUCACAAAUUUAGAUGUUGUAUGUAAAUGAUUUAUAUGAACAACACAGGUGUGGGAAUUAUGGAGAAAAGAAAAACCAUUGGAGAUAGUUGAUCCAUCACUGACGGAGUUGUAUGAUCCGCGUGAAGCCUUGAAAUGCAUACAGAUUGGUCUACUGUGCGUGCAAGAAGAUGCCACGGACAGACCAUCUAUGUUGGCGGUUGUUUUUAUGUUGAGUAGUGAAACAGAGAUUCCUUCUCCAAAACAACCUGCAUUCCUCUUUAGAAAAUCUGAUAAAUUUCCUGAUAUAGCAUUAGACGUUGAAGAUGAACAGUGUUCCGUAAAUGAGGUGACAAUUACUGAAUUCGCUUGUCGCUGAAGGUGUGCCGUCUGAAAAAUUGCUAAUAUGAAGUUCCCUUAGAUUAGUAAUGAGCAAAAAAUUAUGGUUGUUUGAAUUGGUACAGGAAUUAGUAGACAUUAGAUAUGAUAGGAGUAACAGUUAUGAUCUGUAUGUUCGUGUUGAUGCAUAUGAAUUAGGUACCCUUUUUCUGCUCAGUAACUACAUUACACCUGUUGAUUUAUAAGAGCUUUCCUAAGCUUGUCACUGCUCUUGACUGUAGACAUUGUCAUAUUGUCACAUAGAGUCAAUCUUUAUUCUUUUCACUACAAGGAAGUCAAAUGAUUCUCGUGAAAAAACGAUGCUGGCCGUUUUAGCACCAUCAAUUGCUUUAGUGUGGUUUCUCAUUAGCCUGUUUGCUUAUUUGUGGUUCAAGAAGAGAGCAAAAAAAUGUACUGAACUGCAGGUAAACAGCACUUUUACUGAAUCGGAAUUUCAAGCUCAGCACCAUAACGGCGGCCACUAACAAUUUCUCUCCAGCUAACAAACUCGGGCAAGGUGGUUUUGGCUCUGUUUAUAAGGUUGAGUUUCUUGCAUUUAGCUAAAAAUUAAAUGGCUUCUCAAUACUGCAGAUUUGUUUUUCUCUUAUUUGCAUAAUUGUAAUUUAGAGGCUUAAUCUUGUAACAUGAUUUUAGGGUCAACUAGCUAAUGGAAUGGAGGUUGCAAUAAAAAGGUUAUCUAGAAGUUCAGGACAAGGAACAGAAGAAUUUAAAAAUGAAGUUACGGUAAUUGCAAUGCUUCAACACAGGAAUCUGGUGAAACUUAUAGGUUAGCACUCAGGAUGGAGAACAAAUGUUAAUCUAUGAAUACUUGCCAACAAAAGCUUGGACUCGUUUCUUUUCCGCAAGUCUCUUUAUGUUUUUAUUGCCCUGAUUUACACUAGUUGUCUGAAAAAUAGUUGUUUCAACAGUUGAAAGCAGAAGAUUGUUAUUGGAUUGGCGAAAACGCUUUGAUAUUAUUUUUGGAAUAGCUCGUGGGAUCUUAUAUCUUCACCAAGAUUCCAGGUUGAGAAUCAUUCACAGGGAUUUAAAUUGUAGCAACAUUUUAUUGGAUGCAGAGAAGAACAUAAAAAUAUCAGAUUUUGGAAUGACAAAAAUAUUUGAAGGCAACCGAACUGAAGAUAGGACAAGGAGAGUUGUAGGAACAUAGUAAGUACCUUUGCCUAAAACAAAGACCGAGUGACAAAGUACUAUCAUUGAUUACCAGGAAUAUGCUGUGUUUAGAAACUUUUCUGUAAAAUCAGAUGUUUUCAGUUUUGGGGUCAUGUUGCUAGAGAUUGUUAGUGGAAAGAAGAACAAUAGAUUUUAUCAACAGGAUCCUCCUUUGACCUUGAUUGGAUAUGUGAGUUAUAAGAAAGCCAUCUGAGCUCUUGGCUGAGUUUCAGUGAUCACAAUUUUAGAUGUUGUCUGCUCUUAUUUCUUGUAUGUUAAUGAUUUAUAUGAACAACACAGGUGUGGGAAUUAUGGAGAGAAGAAAAAGCAUUAGAGAUAGUUGAUCCAUCACUAACGGGGUGAAGCCUUGAAAUGCUUACAAAUUGGUCUACUGUGCGUGCAAAAAGAUGAAGACCAUCUAUGUUGGCGAUUGUUUUUAUGUUGAGUAGUGAAACAGAGAUUCCUUCUCCAAAACAACCUGCAUUCCUCUUUAGAGAAUUUGACAAAUUUCCUGAUCUAGCCUUAGAAGUAGAAGAUGGACAGUGUUCCGUAAAUGAGGUGACAAUUUCUGAAAUUGCUAGUCGCUGAAGCUGUGCUGUCUGAAAAUUUGCUAAUAUGAAGCUCCAUUAGAUUUGAAAUGAAAAUGCUAGUUGCUAAAUUGGGGAUUUGAGAUUUAGCACACCACCAUGCACAGUUUUACCGACGGAUGCAUUUUGUUGGUGUUAAGACACACAACUCGUCGGUAAACAUUUUUACCAACGACAUCACCAACGGAAUCCGUCUGUCGGAAUAUUGAUUGUUGGUAAUUCCUCUUUCCGUCAUUAAUUCUGUUAGAAAUAAAAAAAACAAACAAACAAACAAACAAUGACAAUCUUACAGGCGGGGGAAGCGCGCAUAAAACAAAAUUCCUGCGAGAACUUUACCGACAGACUUAGUCCGUCUGUAAUUUCAACGGUAUAUCACUGAUGGACUAGCCAUCGGUGAUUGUGGCAUGGGCAGUAAAUAUUUUAGAACUCUCUGUAAAAUACCAAUGGAUAUAUCCGUCGGUAAUAUCAAUGGUAAACACCGAUGGAAUAUAUCCGUCGGUGAUUGUGAUAUGGGUGGUAGAUUUUUUGCAAUUCUUGGUAAAAUACCAACGACUCAGUUCCGUCUGUAAGGCUAUCGGUAUUGAUUUAAAAUAUUUUUUAAAAAAUAUUUAUUAAUAGUAAAAAAAUUAAUUAACCAAUAAAAUUGUAUUAAACAUUAAAAAUAUAAAAAUAAUGUUAAAUAAUAUUCAUCCAAAUAUUCAUUAUAAAUUUAAUGUGUUUCAAAAACAAAAUUAAACUAGAUUAAUAGUGGUGCUGGAGGAGGAGGAGGAGGAGGCUGGUUGUUCCCAGAACCGUAUGGCCAAAUAGGGGGUCUACAUGUAUCAUCACCUGUCCUUGAUCUAAUGUCCAUGACCAUUUGACGGAGCUGAUCAUAAUCCGUCAAGAGUCGUUCAUAUUGUUGUUUCAAGGCCAUGAACUUCUCAUAUUGGGUGCUCGAUACUAAUAGAGAGCUCCCAAUAGUUGAGACACUAUCGGCUGCCUGUAAGUUUUUAGCCGUAGUGUUAGAGAGCCAGUGGACCCAAUUUUUAUUGGGUCCACCAGACGAUCCUACCUCCAUCCAUAAAUCCGGAUGGGUCAAAGGAUUGUCCCCGUAUCUCUCUCUCAACCGGUUAUUAUAAGUCUCCUGAAAAUUAAAAAAAAAAUCAUCAUAUUCAAUUCAAGAAAAUAAUAACUUACAAAAUAAAAUGAUUGAACGAACAUACCAUGAAGUGUUGAGCACGAUUGUCCACGAAUUGUUGCACCCCUUUUUUGGCAAUCUUCACUCCGCAUGUCCGUCUCUACAAACAACUCCAUUGGGCUCGAUUCACGUCCAAGAGACGUAGCCAGCUGUAAGGAAAAAAAAGGUUGCAAGUUAAAUAUAUUUAUAAGCAACAAAAAAUUAAUUAACAAUAUACUUCAUUUAAAUUAAUCAUACCAUCCAUUCUGGGUUUUAUACUGCAAUGUUACCGACAUAAUUAUCGACAGAACAUAGAAUACUAUUUUAUUGGGUGGUGGCAUUAAAUUCCAUCGGUAUUUUUUGAACUUCACACUAAAAUUUUGAAAAUCCCUCCAGAUUUUCUGAAGAUCGUCGGCACAUUCGUCGGUAAAUAGGUGUCAGAGCACACGUGCAUUGGAUUUGCCACUUUUGUCGGUGAUUCCUUCGGUAAAUGUGCCAACCGACUUGGUAGUCUGAUAGUUGCACACAUUGGAAUUUGAACCGUUCGUUGGUGAUUUCAUCGGGAAACACGUCGAUGAUUGUGGCAUGGGUUGUAAUUGUUUUGCAACUCUCGGUAAAAUACCGACGGGACAGAUUCUAUUGGUAUAGCCUUCUGUGAUUGUGGAAAAAUGCUAUAAUUUUUUUGCAACUCUCGGUAAAAUACCGACGGGACAGAUUCUAUUGGUAUAGUCUUCUAUGAUUGUGGAAAAAUGCUGUAAUGUUUCGGCAACUCUAGGAAAAAUACCAACGGGACAGAUGCUAUUGGUAUAAUUGUCGGUGUUUAUGUCAAACUUUUACAUGUUUUGUUUGUAUUGCCUGUCUAUCCUCCGCACAAACACUUAAAUUACAAACUUACAGCAUGCACAACACAAUAACAAGAGCAAACAAUUCUAAAAUAAAUAUUUCAUGUUUCAAAAUAUCAUCCAUAAUAUUACGUUAUAAAAAAAGGCUUUACACUUUCUUGUUCUAAUCAUACUUAGUCAGAAUUUUCGUCCUCGUCCUUAAUUGAAUUGUUAUCAGCUUCAUCGCACUCUUUAAUGUGGUUAUCAUUUUCUUCAUCAACAUUCUCAAGUCCAUUAGAGCUCAAAACAACAUUCAACUCCUCUACGUCAACAUCAAUAAGAUUAUCAUCGAAAACACGAAAAUUUGAAUUUUCUUCUAAGUCAAUCGAAGGAGCAACUCUGUAUGGUUCAACCAACUCACUAGCUUAAAUGACUUCAUCUAUCACACUUGUGUCUUCGUUCUCAUCCUGAACAACCUUGACACGACCUAUGGGUUUGGUUUUUAAAAUGGAUAACCAAUCAACUCUUGAUCGGUCCUUUCUAAAGGAAGAGGUGUAUGUGUAAUAAACUUGUCGGCAUUGCUUUGUGAAAACAAAGACAUCGUUUACGUUGUAGAGUCUAGCUUUUGAGUUGAUUUCAACGAGACCAUAGUGAGAUUCCUCUGUCAGUUGUGUCAUACCAAUAUCAUUUGAAUAAAAACACUCUAUUUUGCUCGCCAUGAUAUUGCAAUUCGAUGACCUCUUCUAAUCUACCGUCGUAGUCAACUUCAAACUCACUAGAUGUCGAUCCCUUAAUACAAACACCGUUGUUGUAUGUCUUUCUUCCAUGCCUUUAUUCUUCAGUAUGAAAGACAUAUCCAUUGAUAAAAUACCCAUUAUAGCACUUGACUUUUGUUUCAGGGCCCAGGCUUAGUAAAGAUAGUGAAAUAGCAGCACUACCUCCUAUUUGAUAAACCUUGUAUAUCAAAUACAACAAUAAUCAAUAAAUAGAUAUUCUGUAAUAUUGACGUACAAUUACCUUACAAGAGAUAAUGAGUUUGCGAUAGGACUUACAUGUGUUCUAAACCACGUGGCAAAUUGUUCAUCUUGUAGUUGAAAGAUUUGAGAUUUGGCCAACUGUGAUUUAUUGGAUAGGAAAUAUCAUCGAUAUUGCCUGCAAGGUUGUUCCAAAUUAUAUGAGUUUAUGAUAUCACAAUACAUAAAUAGUACACUCUUGACAAAGUUUAAGUGGUACAUCUACUUAUUUAAUAAAAGGUCUCAGCUCAUCACAGUUAAAUAGGACAUAAUUGUGUGCUUGUCUGAACUUUAUUUCAGACAAAUAUCUUCCUCUUAUAGCAUUUUUAGGUGUGGGUCGUCCAAGAUUAGAGAAUAUUGACAAGUUCCCACUUGAAGGAACCUCACCACCAUCAUCAUGUCAUGGAACAUGGUUGAUCCUCAUUCUCAAAUGAGGUUUGAAAUAGUAUGAGAUAAAUAUUGAGAUCUCCUCAACAAUAUAUGCCUCACAUAUUGACGCCUCAACAUGCGCCUUGUUCUUAACCUUUUCUUUAAGAUUGAACAAGUACCUGCAUAUAUAGAAUUAAAAAAAAAAUUAUCAAUUAAAAAAAAUGAAAAAUGUUUAAUUAUGAAUUACAUUGCAACUGUAAUAUCUAACUUCUCAAAUGGAUACAUCCAUCUACACUAGACUAGUCCUCCAACUUUUACUUCAAACGGUAAAUGUACGGGUAGAUGCUCCAUUGAGUAAAAAAAAUAAUGGAGGGAAUAUCAUUUCAAGUUUGCAUAUUGUCUCGAUGAUAUUCAUUUCAAGCCUUUCAAUAUGAUCAACAUUCAACUUGUUGGAUCAUAUAUCUCUAAAGAAAUUAUUGAUCUAUAUGAGUGCAUCCCAUAUCCCUUUUGGUAAUAAAUCACGAAUAGCUAAUGAGAUGAGUGUUUGCAUAAAUACGUGGCAGUCAUGACUCUUCAUUCUAUAUAAUUUGCAUUCCUCCGUAUUAACCAGCCUUGAUAUGUUUGAGGCAUGUCCAUCGGAAAAACGCAUAUUCUUAAGUCAUUUGUAGACUAGUAGUUGUGCAUUUUUCUCUAACACGAAGCUUGCUCUUGGUUUUGCGACCCGUGACCCAUCACAAACCAACUAUAUAUUUUUACGGUUACAGAACAACGCCAAAUCCAACUAGCCUUGAUGUUGUCUUUUGUCUUCCCUUUCACAUCCAUAACGGUGUUGAAAAUGUUCUCAAACAUGUUCUUUUCAAUGUGCAUGACUUCAAGGUUAUGGCAGAGAAGAUUGGUCUUCCAAUAAGAAAGCUCCCAAAAGAUACUUCGUUUUAUCCAAUUAUGGGUUAAACCAAAACUAGGAAACUUCUACUUAACUAAUUGGAGACCAAACACAAUAUCAUCGUACUCUAAUACAACAUCAUGCAAUUCUUCACCAGAAAGACGUGGAGGUGCAACAUCCUUUUCAACUCUGCGAACAAAGAAAUCCGUUUUGUUCUUUCUGUACCUAUGAUUUGGUGGCAAGAAAUGAUGGUGACAGUAAAAAAGAAGAAGUUUUACCCCCGUUUGUUAGCAUGAAUGCCUUGCUGUUUUCAUAUAGAAUGGGCAUGCUAGUUUUCCAUGCGUACUCCAACCAGUAAGCAUUCCAUAAGCUGGAAAAUCAUUGAUAGUCCAAAUCAAAGUUGCCCUCAUAACAAAAUUUUAUUUCCUCGAUAUAUCAUAAGUCAAAGCUAUGUAGGACCAUAACUGCGCCAACUCAUCAAUCAACGGUCAAAGACAAGCAUCUAUAUUUCAGCCCGGGUCGUUUGGACUGAGUAUGAUAGUAGAUAAAAACAUAAACUCCGGCCUCAUAUACAUUCCCGGUGGCAAUUUAUAAAUCGUGAGUAUGAUUGGCCAACAAGAAUAAAGAGCAGCAAAUGACCUGAGUGGGUUGAAUCCGUUUGUACAGAAUCCAAAACCUAUGUUCCUUGAUUCAGCUGAAAAGUGAGGAUGCACACUGUUAAAGGGUUUCCACGCUUCGCCGUUAGAAGGAUGCACCAUCACUCCAUUAACCGCAUCAUAUGAUUAGUGCCAUGUCAUGUGCUCACCAGUCCUUAGUGACAUGAAUAACCUCUGCAGUCUAAGUGUGAUUGGGAAGUAUCUAAGUUUUUUAUAUGCUAUUAGAGUCUUUCCCCUGCCAGUUCUGGGUUUGUAACGGGAAUGCUCGCAUGUCAUGCACUCGAUCAGCUUAGUACUUUCAAGGUAGUAUAACAUGCAUAAGUUAGGGCACAUGUCAAUUUUAUGGUAUCCUAAACCGAGGGAUUUCAUCAUGGACUUUGCAAUAUAGAAGUUCUCUUUUAGCCUGUUUCCUUGAUGGUGAACACUCAACUUGUGAUCUGACUUGAUGGUGAACACAUGUGCUACUACCGAUAAUUAUAAUGGCUUGUGUAGCCAUCCUAUAAUGAUUUGUUAGAAUCUUUCAAUAAAUCAAAAACACUUGUUGCAUUUGCAUUAGGUUCUUUUUCUAUGAUUGGACAUUGAUUGACAUUACCUUUAUUUAUUCUCAUUGCAUCCAUAACCAUAUUCCUAUAAGGUUUACUGCUGUCAUUUACAACUUCAUACAUAUUGCUAGAAGUAAAAGUUGACCCAACCACCCUUUCUACCAUGCUCUCAUGAGGAGCAAAUAGUUUUCGUGUGCAUACUAACAUAGGUAAUCCUCCAUGAACCAUUUGGUUAGAAGAUACAUUGUUACAACAUCUUGAUGCAUAAACUUUUUAUUUUACACUUCCUGCAUAAACACCUAAUACCGCCAUCAGUAAAAUUCCUCGAAAUAGAUGUUGCAAAAUUAAUAAAACCCUGAACCCCGUUACAAUAAUCCAUCCUCCGCAAUCCUUGGGGUGAGUCUCGAUACAUCCAUGAACGAUCAUCCAUGACUUCUAUUGAACCUCUACAAAAUUAUGACGACAACAUGUAUUAAUUAACUAUGUUACAUAAAUAAAUUUGCAAAAAUAUUGGUUUGCCUCAACAUUAUCCAACAAACUAAAAAAACAUUUAUGUUAAAUAUUCAUUAUCAAUUAUCAACGUCCAUACAAAUUUAUACAUACAUAAAUUUACGGAAAUCACAACUCCGUAAUAGAAUUGAUAAAAAUUAAAACAGACCUAUUAAACAAGCUAUUAUUUAUUUCAUCACAACACAUCUAAUUCGGUGUAAUUCAAACAAAGUUUCAACAAUUUACAAACAAUUAUAAUUUGACAAAAUCUAAAACAAAUUAUAACAACUACAAAAUUAUAAAUUCAUACUACGUACAAGUUUCUUUGACAAAUAACAAUCAAACAAGUACAUACGUUAACAAAAUACAUAUACUAAAAAUAACAAUAAAAAGUUAUAAAAUUGACAUUUAAAUGUUAAAACUAAAAAGGAUUAAUUUACUUAUAAAAAAUGAUAAAAUCCACAAUAAAUUGCUCGGAGAACAGAUGUUCUGAUCAUGUACAAAAGAAAUAAAAAACUUGAGUGCUUGUGUUGAGAAGAGGAGGAGAGUUGUGAUGGGUGGUUGGCUACAGUUUGGGAAGGGAGAGUUGGGAUGGGGAAGAAGAAGCAGAAAUACAAGAAGAGUUGGUAUAUAUUGGCUUUUAUCGAUGGAAUUAUCGAUGGACAUGUCCCGUCGGUAAAUCCGCUGGUGACUUUGCCACAUCACUAUACGGAGAUCCGGUUUGAAUCCCUCGAUCAUUCUAUCAGUAAAUCGUUUGGAAAAAAUCAAAGUCAUCACACUAUUGCACUUUUUCAAAAAUCUAUAUAUUCCGUCGGCAAUACGGUUGGUAUAUACCGACAGAAUACUCUAUGCCAUCGGUAGAUACCAAUUGCAUUGCUGACGGAUUAUAUAUCCAUCGGUAAUGGAAAAGGUAUGUUGGUAUAUACUCGACAAAUUUAAACGAGUAAUCAGAUAGUAUCUUCAUUCAAUGUCACUAGUCACUAGUUACCUCCCCACCCUACUCCAUCUUUAAUCAAAACCAAUUCUUUAAUCUUUAAUUACUCGAUCUAACCUUAUUCAAUUUCAUUAACUGUAUUAAGGUCAAAUUAUCCUGACACCCUUGAUAAAGAAAUAAUUUUUUUAUAUAUAUUGAAAAGGCUUUUUUGACUUUCUACUCACAAUAAAAAAUAAUUUAAUCAUGUUCGAAAAGCUAUUCAAGGUUUUCUUUCUUUCUUUUUAAUUACUAUGACCUACAAGGAAAUGAUAGAUGGGCCUCAAUAUCAAUAAAAAAUCUCUUAUCAGGUUCCAGGUAGAAUCUCUUCCUAAAUUAAAUUCUUAUUACGUGUGGUGAAUCAUUGCAAAUUAGAAUAAAAACAUAUGAAUCGUCAACCCGUAAAUAAUUUUUUUUCUUUUUAAAGAUUUCUUGAAAGGUUGCGUCAAUAACCACUCCCUUUAAUACAAUUUUUUUUCUUAAAAAACAAUUGCUGGUUGCUGCACAACUAGGAUUGGUGCAACUGUGUUGUGGGUGGCACGACUUCUCAGAUUUAUAUUAUUUUUUUAAAAUCAAUUUAUCGUUAAUUUCUAAGAACUCUCCAAUCUCUCAUCCAUAGCUCAAAAAACUUGUGAUGAAAGAAAUAAUUGUGUUUGAUUUGUUCAUCGAGAAGGACAUCUCUUUGAUAAACAAAAAAAGAAGAGAAAAAAGAGACCAGACGGAAUAUAUACCAUCUUUAUGUCACCGAUCAUUUGUUUGAUUAUUAUACAAUCAACGAGCUCUAUAUAUAUACUAGCUUUGAUACUCGCGCGACGCCGCGGGUCAUUUUUUUUUGUAUAAAAAAUAUUUUAAAAAAUAAAAAUUUAAAAAUCUUGGGUUUUUCUGCAAAGUUAUACUCAAUAAUCUUGGGUUUGGCUGCAACGCCUGACCUGAGAGUAAUAUUUAUAAUAUUAAUAAUAAAAUUAAACUUGCAUGAUCCAAGUUUAAGUGAGCCUGUCUAUAACACCGGACCCAGAAAUAUUGGAUGUAGGUCUGGCUAUAAGGUCGUGUCAUAAAAGUGUGAUAGUUAAAUAGAUUAAUUAAAAAAACAAAGAAAAAAAAUUAACAGAAAGGAAAAAACUAAUGAAGAAAAAGAAAAAAAAUUGAAUUAAUUGGGUUAACCCUUUAAACCAGGUUAUCCCGUAAAACGUAAGAUUUGCGUCAUGAAAGUUUGAUAACUAAAUAGAAAAAAAAACGGGUUUACCCAUAAUUAACCGGGUUAACCUAUCAAAGCAAGUUAACCCGUCAAGCCCAGGAUAUAUGUAAUGAAAGUCUGAUAAUUAAAUAGAAAGAAAAUUAACUUUAACAAACUAAACUAAAUGAAAAAAAUAACUCGUCAAAUUGGGUUAACCCAUCAAACCCGAGAUUCGUAUCAUAAAAAUAUGAUAACUAAAUAAAAAAAACAAUUAAGGUUAAUAAACUAAAUCAAACAAAAACAAUUCAUUAAAAAAAUUAAAAAGAAAAAACAAAAGAAAAAAACAGUCAUAUAAUAAUAAUUAUAAUGAAAAAACGUGGGGAAAACUAAAGCUAAAUUCUCAACCAACUCAAUAUUAAAAAAAUAAAUUUAACAAAGAUAAUUUAAAAAAUAAACAUGUGGGGGAAACACUGCAGCCAAACAAAAAUCAUUUAAGGGAAACACUUUAGUAAUCCAUAUUUUUUUUUCUUUUUAAAAAAAGCUACAAAGCUGAGAUCCGUGUAAUGAAAGUAUGAUAACUAAAUUAAUUUUUUUUUCACAUUAACAAAUUAAAUUAAACAAAAAAAAUUCAUUAAAAGAGAAAAAAAACAUAAAGAAAAAAGCAAAAAAAAAAACCCAUGGGCAAAACGGGAAAAAACGAAAAAAAAAAGUCAAGUGUUUCACUGUGUGCACAGUGAUACAUUAUAUGUAAAAAACAGAAGAAAUAAAAGCGAGAAAAAAAAAAAGAAAGCUGCUACAGUGAAAAACCCACGCGUUAAAAAACAAUAUGUAAAAAAAAAAGCUGCUACGGUGAAAAAACAUUUUAAAAAAAACAAAAGCAAAAUGGAAAAAAAAUGGAAAAACUGCUACAGAAAAAAAAACCAAAAACAAAAAAAAAACAGCUUUAGCUACAGUGAAAAAGCUACACAUUUUAGAGUUCUUAUAUAUAUAUAUAUAUAUAUAUAUUUCUAGAAACCAGCUUGUAUGAAGCAAGUUAUCAAUUCUGUUUCGGUAGGUGUUUUGUUUAUCAAUUGAAAUGGAAAUUUGUAGUUAUAUAUAUAUUCAAGAAACAUAAUUCAAAUUCAAAAUAAAUUAAUUGUAAAUUAUGCAAUACAAACACAAUGUCAAACAAAUAUAAUUUUAAAAUUUAAAAUAUUUCUAAAUAGUGAAGAUUAAAUAGAUCUUUAACUUAAAGUAAUUCAACUUAAACAAAAUAUCAAAAUAUUAUAAAAUUAAAAUGUUUUAACACAAAUAUUUUAAAUAUAAAGCUAGGUUAAUGUUAUCAAGGUUAAUGAGAUUUAAAGCAUCCCUGGUUUUGCUCAAAUUCCUACAAAGUAUAAACUUGAAAAAAACAACAUGAAUAUAAACCAUAUAUAUUAGUGAUAAAUCUAAUUUUAAAAAAUUAAUAUCAUUGUUAAUGAAAAUAGUAAUGAAAAAGAGCUUUUUAUACUUAGAUGGUUUAAUUAAUUAAAUUAAACCUGAUUCAAUUUGAUUCAAUGUCUUUUUAAGACCGGAACGGAACAUGUGGAAUGAAAUCGAAACAUUCCAGAUGAAAUUUAGCUAAAAAAAUCUGGAACAAACCGAGAUUUAAAAUAAUAUAAAAAUUAUUCUGUUUUGUUUUAUUUUUUUAAAUUAAUAUAAAAUAAUUUGUCCAUUUCAAACGAAACAAAAUGAAAUUAGCAUCCUUAGUUUGAAGAGUUCCCCUUCCCCUUUUUCCUAGAAAUAAAUCUAGCUGGGUUCUAUCAACGCAGGCUUCAAAACUAAUGUGGCCUGGCUCUGGAUACUUUAUAUAUACAUUAUCCGGAAUCCUUGCCAUUGUUAACUAAGUCAUUUAUUGCUAGGUCUACCAAUCUCUCUCCCACAGCAGAGGCAUGGAGAGAGCCCAUUGGCUAAUUGUUACAUCAAGAACACCAAAAUUCAACUUUGCCCAUAACAACACACCUAUGAAUAAUCUAGUGUUAACUAGUCUAGGUUGAUGUAAACGUCUAAUCUUGUAAGACCUCGGUAAAAUCCCCAUCAAAUACAUUGAAACUUGAUUGGUGAGACUAGGGGUGCAAAUAUUGAUCUGAUUGGUAUAAAAAAUAAAAAAUCAAAUCAAAUUGAUACCUCUUACUCUUAAGAUUAUCCACUUGCUAUUUUAAUAAAUUAUUUUAUUUAUGUUUGAUCAUGUCUAGCAAAAUAUAUUUUUAUUUUAAUACUAACGAUUCAACGGUUUCAUCAAUGACUAAUUAACUAGUAGUCAAAUAAGAUUAAUAUAUAAGUUAUACAUCUCCAAAACCACUCCUAAUCCACCCCACAUCACAUCAUUAAAACGACCUUCCAUCUCCCUAUCCAAAACCACUACCACUAGCCCUCCUGAAACGCACCUUAAUUAUUAGCUCUGCCCCUUAACCACCACUGAUAUUAGCCACAACGGCCACCUGAACCCUUAAUGCUACCACCGAACGCGCCAUCACCAACAACCAAUAACAAUAAAAAAAAGGCCACCAAAACCCCCAAAAUGCUAUCCAUAAAACCUCCUUAUGAGAAGGCAAAAUCUGGCCACACAACUUAGCAAACACCACCAGCAAAACCACUCAGUAGUCCCCAAAGGGCGUAGCGUGGUAGCAAAAGGUUUAAGAUCUGCACAGCAGGUCUCGAGUUCGAAUCAGGGUGUGCAUCUCUUGUAAGAGCCUGGGACAACCGGGGUUUUACUCACACACCUAGGCCCACAAAGUGCGCUUUCCGGGAGGUGAGGUUUCCUCGAAUCCAAAAUAUAUAUAUAUAUAUAUAUAUUAGAGUACAUUGCUUCAGAUUAUGACACUUGUCAUAAUUUUAAUAUAGUGGAUACUUAGUUAAUUAGCACAAGUCUGUCGGUAUGUUAUGAACAUAUAUAUAAACACAACUAUCUCGUGGUAUAUGGAGCUAUGCAAAAUAAGACCUAUUAUCCAGUAUUCUCUACAACUCCUAUCUCUCUGUUUCUUCUUUCUUUCUGCAGAAUUAUAGAUCAUGUUAAUCAAUUGACAUAGCUUAACAUGGUAUCAGAGAUGAUUAUUGCUCACACUUGAAAUUUCUUGAUCUUCUGUUGCUUCCGCAUUUUACAGUUAUUUUCUUUGCACUCACAUAUUGUUCUUCAUAUUUGGAAUAUAUAGUGCUUUGUUGUGAUCUUCAUCUUGAGUUGUAUUUCUUUCUGCAACUUGCACAACAAGUGUUUGGUGUAUUGUCACAUCCACGAAUUAAACUUGAAAUCCUUAUGGUGACAGCUUCGCAACUCUAGUUGCUUCAAUCUCCAAUUACAACUCUCAUUUCCUCCUUUCCUACAUCAGUCACUGUCAAACUUGAUGAAUCGAACUACCUCAAUUGGAACUUCUAGAUGCAACUUUUACUUGAAAGUGGAAUUAUAGGGUAUGUUGAUGGUUUGCUCCCCUGUCCACCUCAACAUUGUUCAAUCUCGGUUGAAUCUGGUAUCACCUCUUUUUCCUCUCAAUCUGAUGAAUAUAUAGUAUGGAAAAUGCAUGAUAGAGCGAUUAUGCAAUUGAUUACUACCACAUUAUCACUGAUUGUUAUGUCCUGUGCAAUUGGUAGCACCCUCGCGGGUGGAGCACGGUGUUGCCUCGAUUGGUUUUGGGGUCUGUUUGUUUUGUAACUAAAGGAGUCGCCAGCUAGUAUUAUGGUCACUAGGAAACUUAAUUGGUCUUUCAAAGAUUCUAAGGCAAGGGACUGGUUGCGUAAAGGGAAGGUAUUAGCACCCCUAGUACGCCCUACCUAAGGUUAGCUGUUUGGUGUUUAGUUUGUCUUAUAAUUGCUAUGGUGUUGGUGUUCUCUAAUCCCAUUAGUUUUCCUAGGAUAGUUUUGCUAUGAUGAACAAACUUAGACUUAAAGUCUAAAAAGAAAGAACCCUUGGUCAAUGUGGAUCACACCCUUAGAUAUGUCUACAAAGUACCAAGGAGAACCAAUGCAAAUCUCUUGAAAUCUGUGUUUGAUUCAAACUAAAUUUAUUAAGAUAGAAAUCUAAAGAGAUUCCAUGUACUUUAAAAUCUCAUUUUCCUCUUAGUAUUUCAAGAGUUUGCGACUUGUAAAUCGCAAGAAGGAAGGAUAAAGAUUUAGAAAUCGAAGGAAAUUCAUAGCGUUUUAAAAGCCUCCUUUUGCCUUAGUAUUUCAUAUUUUCACGGCUCGUAAACCGUGGAGUCAAAAAGUUGAAAUGUCCUCAAUUAUAAUUGAGGCUUCUUUCAAGGAUGUGUGAUGAUUUAUUAUUCCUAGAAAAUUAUUUUGGAUAUUUACCACUUAGGAUUUCUUUAUCCAAAUAUUAAAAGUGAAUAAUAACAAUUUUUUAUAUUUUUUGGAAUAUUGGCCAAUACCCUUUAGAGUUUUACAAACAUGUUGUAAAAUCCAGAAAUGCAAAAAAAUAUUUUUUGGCAACGGUUGGAUGUGAAGUGGAGGAAGACGAUUGGUUGCUGCUCACGAAGGAUGCCCCUGCUUGCUGUUCACAGUGGAGCCAGGUUUGCCGGUUGUUGUCGCUGCUAGUUUCAGGUGCAGUUGCAGACGAAAUGAGAAAUGGUGGCCUGCUGGCUGGUUGAUAUUUCUCUUCUGUUUCUCGUGUUGCUGGAAGGGAAGGAUGGCUUCUGCUGAUUCUGCUCACUACGGCUGAGGAAGGAUAUGGCUGCGGAGGAGGCUAUAGCUGGGCGGGUGGCUCAGCUCAUUUCUAGUUGUUGUUAGUGCUGGCCAUGGUUCAGCAGAGGUGAUGCUGCUAGCUGCUGGGAUUUUUUGAGGGAAGUCGGUCUGCCCUUUUCUUCUCAAAAUACAUGAAUAGUUAAGGCAAAAAUUGCUAAAUUUCUCGAGGAUCUUAAUUUCAAUAGGAGUGAUUUUUCUAAAAUGAUAGAAUUUAAGGAAACACAAUAUUUAAAUGAGUUGCAUAUAGAUAAAAGAAAAUUGGUUAUUGUUCAAAAACAUUAUUUAGAUAAUUUUGAACAACAAUCAAUUUAAGGAAAACCAGUUCAAGAGCAGUAAACUCACAUGAGAAAAUUUAAUUAAUAAGUUAUUUAAGAACAAGGAGACCACCAAUUUUUUAUGACUAUGUUGUAUAUUUUCAAGAGUUUGACUUUGAUGUUGGACUUCAAGAUACUCCAAACUCAUUUUAUGGAGAAAACUCUACUCUAAUACAACUUCUAGGAUAACAUCAAUAUGGCAUGCAUAUAUACAUAAUAGAAAAUUAAUAGGAUACAUGAUUCAUUAAGUGUUGAAAUAAUUGUUCAAAAAUCUUUAUGGUAUCAAGAAUAAAGAAUCUUUUAAUCCAUGCGUAAACUUUAGAUUUACUACGUGGAUGGAAAACACAAAACUUUUCAUAACUAUUUUUUUUGCUGGAUUAAGAACCCUUUAUAUAGAACUUAAUUUUUGCAUCUCCAUUUAUCAUGGAUGUGUUUGGCCGUCCAAUGGACUUUAAACCUUAAUUGUUAUUGACAUAUGAAUCGCCUUAGAGGUAUUCUUUUACCAUAAUCUUGUAACAUGAUUUUAGGGUCUGCUGGCUAAUGGACUGGAGGUUGCAAUAAAAAGGUUAUCUAGAAGUUCAAGACAAGGAAUAGAAGAAUUUAAAAAUGAAGUUAUGGUAAUUGCAAAGCUUCAACACAGGAAUCUUGUGAAACUUCUAGGUUACUGCAAUCAGGAUGGAGAACAAAUGUUAAUCUAUGAAUACUUGCCAAACAAAAGCUUGGACUCGUUUCUUUUCCGUAAGUCUCUUCAAGUAUUUAUUGCCCUGAUUUACUCUAGUUGUCAAAUUUUACCUGUCUAAAAAAUAAUUGUCUCGACAGAUGAAAGCAGAAGAUUGUUAUUGGAUUGGCGAAAACGCUUUGAUAUUAUUGUUGGAAUAGCUCGUGGGAUUUUAUAUCUUCACCAAGAUUCCAGGUUGAGAAUCAUUCACAGGGAUUUAAAAUGUAGCAACAUUCUACUGGAUGCAGAGAUGAACCCAAAAAUAUCAGAUUUCGGAAUGGCAAAAAUAUUUGAAGGCAACCAAACAGAAGACAGGACCAGGAGAGUUGUCGGAACAUUGUAAGCACCUUUGCCUAAAACAAAGACCGAGUGACAAAGUACUAUCAUUGAUUACCAGGAAAACUAAAACUUCAGAUUCUUGUUUUUCUGAUGCAGUGGCUAUAUGUCACCAGAAUAUGCUGUGCUUGGAAACUUUUCUGUAAAAUCAGAUGUUUUCAGUUUUGGGGUCAUGUUGCUAGAGAUUGUGAGUGGCAAGAAGAACAAUAGAUUUUAUCAACAUGAUCCUCCUAUGACCUUGAUUGGAUAUGUGAGUUAUAAGAGAGCCAUGCGUGCUCUUGGCUGCAUUUCAAUGUUCACAAUUUUAGAUGUUGUCUGCUCUUAUUUCUUGUAUGUUAAUGAUUUAUAUGAACAACAAAGGUGUGGGAAUUGUGGAGAGAAGAAAAAGCAUUGGAGAUAGUGGAUCCAUCACUGACGGAGUUGUAUGAUCCGCGUGAAGCCUUGAAAUGCAUACAGAUUGGUCUACUGUGCGUGCAAGAAGAUGCCACGGACAGACCAUCCAUGUUGGCAGUUGUUUUUAUGUUGAGUAACGAAACAGAGAUUCCUUCUCCAAAACAACCUGCAUUCCUCUUUAGAAAAUCUGACAAUAAUCCUGAUAAAGCAUUAGACGUAGAAGAUGGAAAGUGUUCCAUAAAUGAGG